AUAGUAACAUUAUUUAAUUUUAAAUUACACGCAUAUAGUUCAUGCCUAAUAUGACUGGUAAUUUACAAAAUAUAAGAGAGAAGAAUAAAAAUGAGCAAAAAAGGUUAUAAUCUCAGAAGAAGGUUCGUACUCUUUAAAAACUUGGAAUUGAAAUUCCAUAAAAAGUUGUGAGGGGGGUGGAAAUGACGAAAUCAGCCUUCAGCCAGUGAGAGUUGCUUGUAAUAUAAAAUGGAUAGGUUGGGGCAAAAGCAAAGCAAACAGGGUUUGCUCUUGAAUGAGGCGCAGAGAGAUGGGAAGUUUCGAAGGGUGGUUGCCCCUCUCUAGCCGAUGAUUUCCACAGAAAAUCAACAGCCCUUAAGCUGCCUUCUGUCGAUCUUCAUGCUAACCACUCCCGAUCAGAUUAGAGGGUGCACAUAUCAUAUAUAUAUAUAUAUAUAUAGAGAGAGAGAGAGAGAGAGAGAUGAAAUUGAUGGUUCUUUGAUAGACAUAUGGAUAGAUAGAUAUACCCAGUUUAACUGGUGGCUUGUUGUUGUUGUUGGAUCUGUCGAUGGUCUUGAUAUUGGAACGGAGGGAGUAUUAUUAUUAUUCAUUACUACGAGAGGCUGUGAUGAUAUUUUUCUAUUCUAUCAGAGCAAACCCAAUCGGGCAUGGUGAAUCUGAUCCGUAUCUUGGCUGGGCAACCCAGAUGAGCAUGUGAUUUGAUUCCAUCCAUGGAUCUUUCUCACGUCCAACUGGAAGUUGCAGCCAUGGCGGAAUCACAUCCCAUGUCUGAUCAUUCACAGAUCUGAGCCUCGCACACUAUUCUUUAUUUCUUGCUUAAAAUUUUUGUAUAUUUUUUGUUAUAGGUUUGUUGAUGCAUUUUUGAUUAUAUUAUAUAUUUGUAUUAUGCCAUUUAUUUAUUCAUUUUCUAAUAAAAAAUAUGUUUUUAUAUGUAGACUAUAAAUUCACAUAAAAUUAUUAAUAAGCCACAAUUUAAAGAAUUUUUUACAUAUUGAAAUAUCAUUUUUUAAUGCUUUUUAUAUCUGGGUAGAAUAAAAUUAAGAAAUUUAUAUUUGUACAUAAUUUUUUGAUAUUUUUAUACGAAUAUUGUUGUCAAAAAUUUUGUACCGUUACAUUAUGCAGAUAUUUUUUAUAUAAAAAUAUUAAAAAAUUAUGUAAAAAUAUUAAAAUUUUAAAAUUAAUUAGUUCGAUGACACACGUGCGGUUUAAAAGAAGCAUAUCUAACCAUUAGACUAUUUGAUGAAUUAUAUUUAGUUCAUAUGAUAUUAAUAAAUGUCAUUUAGUCUUUUAUUUUUUUAGCAGAUGAACUAUCUUGUGGACUAUAUUAUAAAAAAAAUUAAAAUAAUCUAUGAAUUUAAAAAAACUUCAAUUUCUUUUCACUCUUCCAUUUAAAUAUAAUUACAGAUUAUAUUUAGUCUAUCUGUUGGAGCUGGGAGGAUAAAAAAGAACUCUUUUAUGUAAAAAUGAUAAUUAGAUUCAAGUGUUUUAUAAGUUAAUUUAUUCAUAUUUAAAUUUUAUUGGGAUAAAUAGAUAAAUUAUAAAAUAUUUAUGUUUAAUUAAUUAUUAAUAAAGUUUUUUGAUAAAAAAUAUUAAGAUAAUGAAAUUAUUAGUUUUUUACGUAUAUUAAAGUGAGAGGUAAAGAGAUUAAGCUAGGAAUUAUAAGAGAGUUUUAUUAAUUAUAUAUAUUUUUAAAAAAAUUAUGAUUAAUAAUUAUUCAAUUAAUUGACAACGUAGACAUAAUAUUUACAAUGUAUAUAUUUUCCUUCUGCAAUGAUUUUUUUAUACUUCUUUUUGUCUUGGUCUAUUAUUCGGGUAAAGUCAAAAUUUUAACUAUUUUUUGUCUCUUCAAGAAAGACGAUGAACAAAGUUUUUUUUUUUAUAAUAAAAAUAGGCUUCCAUUAUAUUUUAAUCUUUACUAUCUUAAUUUUAUUUUUUUGAUUCUUCUUUUCACCGUCACCACCUAUAAGACAUAUUAUAUAGUAUUAGUUAUCAAAUAAUUUAUUUAUAUUUAAACUCAGCUUUAAAAAGAGGCUCUAUUUUAUAAAGAGUUUUUAUUUUAAUAAGUUUUUAUUAUAAAAUUUAAUCAAAUACUAUCUAGAGCCGGACUAUUUACCCUCCUUUUAUAAUAUAGAUAUAAAAAAUGAUAUAUAUUAUAAUUUUAUAUGUUGAUUAUUAAUUUUAUUUUGUUAGAUAAAAUCUAUGUAGUAAAAAUAAUGUUUAGGUGGUUGUCAGUUUCAUUAAUUAUAUCUAAGAAAAGUUGUUUCAUUAUAUCUUAUACUAGCAACAGUUCCGUGUCUUCGGUACUAUGGCCCAUAUAAUUUAUUAGGAUGAACGGAAAAUUUAAAAUUAUUUGUAUUUUAUUAAAUAGAAUUCAAUGUUUGAGACAAAAAAAAUUUAAUAUUACUCUUAUUAUAUUACCCUAAUAUGAGAUUACUUAAGAUAAAUCACUUUAACGAUAUUAUUGGUUUUUUGAAAUACUAUUAUACAAGUAUGUGAUCAUUUUUUUAACAAAUCUGAUCAACUUUAUAUAAGGAGGUAUUUGAUAAAAAUUGAAUGAAUCUGAAUAAAAAAAAUUAUUUAAUAAUUUACAUGUUUGAAACAUAUAAAUAACAAAAUUUUAUUAUUUUAUCCCUCUGAAAAUUUGUAACAUUGUUGUAAAUUUAUUUAAUUAUUUAAUAUAAUAAUUAAUAUUUUUUUAAUUUUUUAAUUCUUUUUUACUUCAUUCAACUGUUUAUUCAGUCAUUUAACUAGUAUAGUAAAACAGGGUUAAAACGGGGAAAGCAAGAAGCAAACACUAGGGCAAGCAAGUUAUAGUAUAUAGAGAGACAAGAAAGGGCCUUUUUAAAAUCAAUCUCAUUAGUUUAAGUAUGAGGCUGAAAUUGGGGGCAGAGAGAAGGGAUGUUUCUAAGGGUGGUUACCCCUCUGUGUCAUUACUCCAUUAAAGCCGAUGAUCUACCUCUCGUGCCUGUAUUAAAUCAACAACCCUUUUCCCUCCUCCUCAUCCCCCCUCCUUCUCCUCUUCCCUGCUGGAGCUCAACUUUCAGUUGUUCUCUCCCUUUAAACUUGUAACUGUGUGAAUGAGGCUGUGAUGAUGUCUUAUAAAGAAAGGCAGACCAGGUCCGAAUCAAUCGUAGCUUGGCAACAAAUCUGAUGGUCUGAUGUGAGAGAAAUGGAGAGAAAUAUAUGGAGUUUCCAACUCCUCUUUUCCUCUUUUUUUUUUCUCUCUCAUACAUGGCAACUGUUGUUGCAGCCGGUUUGAUCUUUGUCUGAUUAAAGGCGAAUCUGAGCCCCCUUGAAAAUUGAAAUUGGAUUUUUUUUGGUUUUACAACGUUGUGAAAUUGUGCCAAGUAUUCUAUAAACCCUGGACCCCUGGUAUUGAGAUUUCAAUUUUCUCACUUAUGUAUGGAAAAACGUAGGGUUAGGGUUGGAUAGAGACUGAAUUUUAUCCCAUUUUUAAUGAAAAAGUGAGAUUUAAUUUGUUUUCUCUUAAAUAAUUAGGAAAGUGCACUAUUAACGAGGGUUUUUUUUUUGUGGGGAAAAUUCUGGCUCAAAAUUUGUUAAAAGUUGGUCGAAUCAAGUCUCUGUAUCUCCAUAGCUAAUUAGUUUCUGACCAAAAUGUUUGUAGCAAUUCUACUAUAUAUAUUGAUAAAAGAUGGUGAUAAAAGGUCUAUAUUCGAAAUGAAUUAUAGUACUUGUAUACAUUAAAUGUUUUGGGAAUAGAAAGAUCUACGAGACAUCCAAUAACAAUGCUGAAAGAAACAUGGUGGGAAAGAAAGGGGGAGGCUUCAGAAGAAAGAAAAUAAACAAAAGAAGAGGGUGACAAGUAUAGAGGUGAUGUCCGAAUCACCAACAUUCUUUAUUGCACUUGAUUUUAUCUUGUCAUCUGAUGAAGAAGAAUGUGCUUCAGCAGGUGCGGGUGCGGUGGCGUUGCUGCUGCCAAGCUUGGACACAGGAGGUAGUGGUGGAUCAACGAUCUCUGCAAUACUAAGGGGUUUGGCAGGAGGUAAAGGGGGCGGCAGUGUGGCCGGAUCAAUUGUGGUAGCCAUACUCCCCACCAUAGCUGUCGAUAUUGUAUAUGCUUGGGGAUUGGAUUCAUUAAAAUAAGAACAUGGAUUCCCUGCACAACCAAAUGAUAUGAAUUUCAUUCAGCAUCUUAACCAAGCAACUCUUGCUUGGGAUAAUUUUCAAAUGUGCAGCAUGGUAAUGCAAUGUAACAAAGACAUAAACCGAGUAUAAUUUGGUGGUACUUACUUAGGAAUGAGCUUGCUGUUGCUGGGUAAUCGGUUACGAAGCCAUCAAUCUUCAUGUCAACGAGAGUAGCUAGCUCUACAUUAGGAUCUGCGAAGUAAUCCAAACUGAGGAAGAUGAAUUCAUUCCUGAUAGGGUAGGCAUAUACGGAGAUAUUUGCAGCAUGCAAUUCCUCAAUAACUUUGGUGGUGUUGGUGGUAAAGUAGGCUGAAUUUUGUUGAAUGAAUGAACUUUUCUCGAGAACAACUACAUCAGCAUAUUUCUUCACUUCUGCCAGCACUUCCUUAGGUGCAUUACUUAUUGGCAAUCUAACAAAUAAUACUCUUUCGUAAGUUGGGAUAUUUUUCUUGAAUUCGGAUAGUACCGAGCUAUCGUCGGACUGAAUCAUAACCCUUUGAGUAGAUUGCUUGUCGAAGCUGGCGUUGGCCAACGCAGUGGUGACAACAUCAACUAAACUAAAACCCUUUUGCGAUGCUAGAUAGGCAGCAUUCUGGGAAUAAAAUUAAAAAUAAAUAGAAACGUCAGCAAUUUAACUAGUCUAUUUUUUUGUUCUUUCUCUCUCUCUUUCAUAAGAGUGAGCUUAUUUCAUAGACACCGGACUCUUUUAGUUUUAGGAUAAAUGAAGAGCUGAUGUAACACAGACUCCGACUCCAGCUAGCUACUAUAGAUAGAUAUAGAAGUAGUAGUAAUUCUUAAAGAAAGAUGGGAAAGCUCACUUGUAUAUUAAUCAAAACUCCUACAACUUUCUUCGUCUUUGCAAGUUCUAAGAAAUCGGCCAAAGUCAUAAACUUGCCCAUGUUUUUGUGUCCUGGGUUUCUAUAGAUGUUGUAUUCCUUCAAAGGAGUUUCAAUUGUAGCUGCAAUGGGAUAAAGGUUUUUUGUCAGACAAGAUAUAUAGCUAGGGGGUNNNNNNNNNNNNNNNNNNNNNNNNNNNNNNNNNNNNNNNNNNNNNNNNNNNNNNNNNNNNNNNNNNNNNNNNNNNNNNNNNNNNNNNNNNNNNNNNNNNNAUUUACUCACGCUUGAGGGAUAGAAUUUCGUUCCAAGUGAGAUCAAAUGAGAAAACUCCACUUUGUGGUCUAAUUUCAGGGAUAAUAACAGAUCGGUCCAUAAAAGCUGCGAGUACAGUAGUAUAUGCAGAGAGAUCGACAUCACCCAUGCAGAAGGCAACUCCAUCUUUUGACAUUUGGACAUUGCAAUCGAUUAUAUCCGCACCGUCGUCAAUGGCUUUCUGGUAGGCAAGGUCUGUGCAACCAGGGUAGUCUCCACUAGCUCCAUUGUGAGUUAUGAUCAAACCUAUAAAUUAAUUAGGCAAAGUAAUAUGUGUUGUACUUGUAUACUGCCUACUAUCACUAGCAAGUGAAUAUUAAAACUGCUCUGAUAAAUUUUACAUAGACAGCUUUUACCCUAUAAUAUAUAUAACAUAAUAAUUUGUACGCACGCGCAGUCGGUCCUGAUCUCACCUGUCUGAGCUCUAGUUGUAAUGUUCUGGCUCUGAGCAAAGCAUACUGCACCAAUUAAGAAGAGGAGUUUAGAAGUUGGUUAGGUUUGUAAACAUGCAAGAAUUACAAAAUGAGUUUGUUUAUUGGUCUGUCCGUCCGCAUACCGAUGGAAUCUGAUGCAGUGGAAGGGAAAUCCGAAAGCACACCAUCAACAGAAAAAUGAUUGUUGUCGAUAAAUUGGAGGUACUCAUUAACUGGAUUAAAACUGUAAUUGUAAAUAAAGUUAUCAUUUGCAAAAUCAGAAGCAUAUACUUGAAGACCUAUUUUGUGUGCAUCAACUACAAGUGUAGUUGGUGGUUCCGAAAACUUAUCCUUCACCGGAACUAUGUAGGUUUUAGGGACAAGAAUAGCUGAUGCAAAUGGCUUGAUAGCUGCAAGAUUGUCCAGUAUUGAACCAUAUUUUUGCAUGGUUGUGGGCUCAACCUCGUCUUUCCCCAAUAUCUUCAAGAUGAGCUUUGUGCGGGUUUUGUCCACUUUCCCACUCAUAUACUUCAAGAAACCUAUUUCUGGCGACGAGAUGUGGGUUGGCACCCAAAACGUGGAGGAUUCCGAUAUGUAUUCUGCCACACUCAGAUUGUGCUGGUUGUAGAACAUAUCAUACUGCAUUAUAUCAAGCAAUCAAUUAAUUUAACCAAAUUACAUAAGAGUCCGACCAAAGUUGUGUCGAAUACGUGAGGUUGGUUGGAUAUGAUUAUAAGGGUUAAAAAGUUAUGUUUAUUCUAGUACAUAUAUAAAUUAUAUAUCAUCAGACAGACAUACAUACCUCAACAUUUAGCCAUAUAUUUUUAGUUAUCUCUCCGAGGUAGUCAGGAGACGAGAUUGAAAAAGCAUCAUCGAACGAGUUUGUUCGAGUUAAUACGCUUUGUACAUCUGCGGGGGAUCAUCAAACCGAAUUAUUUUUAAAGAAAACAAAAAUAUAUAAUUAAUUAAUGGUGUUCAAUAUAUAUGCAUGCAUGAGGUAGUGUUAAUUAGAUCUUACAAGUUAUAGGAUCUUGGAGAUCAUCCAAGUUAUAGUCCAGAGCAAACCAGCCAUGAAGAUCCCGGCCAUUGACGUUGUAAGUCUUGUCUCCCUUUGGGAAGGCACGCGCUAUUGUUGUUGAUUUGUCAAUGAGGAUUUGUGAUGCGCAAAUUCCCAUAUUGUCCUUUGUAAGAUGAAGAUUGCAGUACAUAAUUGCACCCGGACGACUUGUCUGCAUAGCCAAAACAUAUCCAUAAGCACUCGACUCUGGAGCUACCCCAGAGUAUCCACCCCGUGCUACAACCUCCGGUGGACCUCCUGCAUAUAUAUCCGCAUGCAUUCGCUCAAUCAAAAUUAAUAAUAAAUACAUUAAUUAAUUAAGUUAACCCCCACAUGACCAACAGUACCCACCCACCAUUCAAAGUUAAAAAUUUCUUGUUGGACACUACCACCGGGCCUUCUGUUUGGGGUUUUCCUCCUCCUUUAGGACGUUCAUGCGGGGGUUUUGGUGUCGGCUCAUGAUCUUUUCCGCCUUUAGAAUCAUCGUUUGGGACUACUUUCUCUACUACACUACUACUACUACUACUUGAAUCCACCGCCAACAACAAUAAAACAAAAAACAAUUGCCGGAACAUUUUUUAAUUCAUGCACCUGUACCUGUACCUGUACCUGUAUGUAUUAUCAUAAAUAAAUAAAUAAAUCUACAAAAUUAAACUUGUUCAAAUAAAACCAAAAGAAGAACUAAUUAACUUGAUGAAUUAAUUAAUAUUGAUUGACUGGACUCCACAGAUUAGACAACAUUCCCCGUCGAGUUUCAAGGAGGGAGAAACUCAAAAGGGAAUGUAUUAUUAUGCAAAUGAAUGAAUUGGAAGGAGGUGAGAAGAGAGAUGGAGAGAAGAGAGAUUUGAUAGGAUUUAAUGAGUUUUGCUCCCACACAUUAUUCGCAUAAAUUGCUGGUCAUGCAUUAAUAUUGACCCCUUAUUAAUAUAGCAAAUUAAAGCUUAGCUGGAUAUUGUUUGGCGGCAGGCAGCCACUUCAAACUCUUGCGGUUUCAACAAUACGUACUAUCAUAAUACUAACCAACUAUUUUCAUCCAUUCUUAAUUUAGAUUUCGAAGGGUAUCUUAUAUUUUUGAAGAAUAUAUUUGUCAUUCAAUUAAAAAUACAAAAAUGUUACUCUUUCCGACCUGACCACUUUAAAAACUAAGAUAAAGUAAAUAAAGUAAAAUGUAACUAUGUCACUUAAUAAGGUCCAUUAAUAUAAAUAAAAUAAAAUUACUCAUCAUAAUUUUGUGAAACCACUAAGAAAAAAUUUAACACUUUAUUUAUUCUCUCUUUUUUUCUCCUUAAUAUGUAUAAAAUUUGUACUUUGUUCAUACUUAAGGACAGAGGGAGUAAAUAAGAUUAUAGGUAUCAUCCUAUGAAAAGGAUUAGUCAAAAAAAAAUUAUACCAACUAUAUAUGUCACUAAGAAGAAACUAGAAAGCCAAGGUUAACAAAAAAUCCUAAGAUUCUUCUUUUGGGAAUCUUUUUAACCAAACAUUUUAAUGAUUGAAAAUAUUAUUUUAAAAAUCUAAAUAUUAAAUUUCAUGUUAUCUUACUUAAAUUGAUAGCAUCAUAUAUAUAUAUAUAUAUGGACAAUGAUUCAUAAUAUCUAUUUGGUAUGGAUAAAAAAUGAGCAUAACAAUUAUUACCUCCGUCCCACAAUAAGUGCUUUUUUAGAAUUAAUAUUUUUUCUCAAAAUAAGUGAUGUGUUAGAACUCCAAUACAAUUUUUGCAAUAUUUUCUCAUAUAUACCCUUAUGCAUUCAAUUGUAUUUAUUGCAUCUUACUAUCACUACAAUUAAAUGACACUCAUUAACUCUUCAACUUCAAAGAAAAUAUAUCAAGGGUAUUUUUGCCAUUUUAGCUUGUGUAUUGGUAUGUGUGAUUUAAGUUAAAAAAAUACUUAUUAUGGGACGGAGGUAGUAUUAAAGAUGAAAUCGCUUAAUCGUCAUCCUAUUACGCCUGUGUUAUAUGUCCGCUAGGUGUUCUAGCGGAUGCAAGGGACAUAAGACAAUACAACAAAGUCACAUAAGUUAACCCAGACCAAAUCAGUACAGGAACAGCAUGUCAGCAACAACACAUAAAAAUUCACAAGACAUGAAGGUAACCCAGUCCGAAUCCAUAGCACAACAACAUCACAUCAAACAUUGCACAUCAAACAUUCCAAAUCCAAUUCUAUAGCACAUCAAACAUUCCAAAUCCAAAUCACAACAACAAGAAACAUCAAAUUCCAAAUCCAAUACAUCCUAUUCCAAAUCAGCAACAUGCCAGCAGAAAAUCAAACAUUCCAAAUCAUUUGCACACACUCUGCGGCUCCCUGCAUCAUUUGCACCAUAUAUUGGAUGUACUUUUCGAAGUGUUCUCCAUUUGCAAGAGUAAUAUCCCCAAAGGAUGAGAAUGUAGGAGGUUUGACAGAACGGUGUAGUUCACCACUAGAGAGAUCCUUGAGGAGAAGAGUCAUGAUCCCAUCACAGUAUGGCAAGAUCUUGCCAUCUAAAGCACGACAAAUACCGCCAACCACCCCAACUGCGAUCGCACAGACCAGUUGCUCAAAAUUUUGAAGACCCACAGUAAGCAUUGCUUCUUCAUGUACUCUUGUUUUUCCCUAUCAUCUGAUGAUCCAAUUUGGAGCUCAGCUGACUUGGCCUUAGUGGGGUAAAAUCAGUGGCGGAACCAGAACCUUUUUGUAGGGGAGUCAAAAAUUUUAAACCAAGCGGCGACGGGCGGGCGGCGGCGGUAGGCGGCAGCGGCAGGAGUUGAUUGAACUAUAAUUAGAGUUUCUGCAGAAGCUCUAAAGAGUUAGAAAUACAGAGGAGGAGAAUCCGAAAAAUUUGAUGGAAGAAUUCGUAACUGUAGAGAGGCUAGAGCGAAAACUGGUUGAGUUGGAAUUAUUGCAAUAGCAGCUGUAGUUAAUGUUUUAGGCAAUUAUCAACAGCCUGCUGCCCCCCUGCCCCGGCCCCCUCCUAGUUCCGCCCACCGCCUGACCGGCGACUGCCUCCCUACCGCGUCCGGCGUCCGGGGGCAACUGCCCCCACCCGCCCCCUGGUUCCGCUAGUGGGUAAAAUCGACCCAUAAAAAUUUUAUAUCCGUCCGCUAGAAUUACUAGCGGAUGACAAAAUAUUUGCUCAUUUUUGAUUCAUAGCAAGUCGAUGGUAUGGAUCAUUGUCAUAUAUAUAUAUAUAUAUAGAUAGAUAGAGAGAGAGCAAGGAUCAAGUGCAUACUCCUUAUCUUACUCACCCGUGCUCACCCCCCUUUAGGCGACGAUUUUGGUCAUACAACCGUCGCCUAUACUUUUAGCGACGCUAUAUGUUGUCGGUCGCUAAAAGUAUAGGCGACUGUUGUAUGACCGAAACCGUCGCCUAAGGGGGGUGAGCAUGGGUGAGUAAGAUAAGGGGUAUGCAUUUGAUCCGGACCGAUAUAUAUAUAUAUAUAUAUANNNNNNNNNNNNNNNNNNNNNNNNNNNNNNNNNNNNNNNNNNNNNNNNNNNNNNNNNNNNNNNNNNNNNNNNNNNNNNNNNNNNNNNNNNNNNNNNNNNNGCUUACCCCCAUUUAGCGACGGACCGGGCUACAAUUCGGUCCUUCGCUAUAUAUAAAAUUAUCGUCUUAACUUUUAGCGACGGACAACAUAUAGCGACGGAUAACAUAUAGUGACGAACCGAACAUAUAGCGACGGAUCAAAUUAUCGUCCGGUCAGUCGCUAAAGGAAAGUGAACAAGAUGAACUAGAUAAGGGAUAAACUUAAGAUCCGGACCGUAUAUAUAUGACACUAUGGGACAUAUAGGGUAGCUUUUAUUGAUAUUUACAGUCAGUUUUUGUAAAAUUUAAAAAUAGUACUCUUUUUUGUGAGGUAAAGAAAUUAAAGUAAUUUAUUACUAGCUAUUAAUAACAAAUAAUCAUGACAUGCACCGUAAGCAAAGGUACGUUUGAUUCCAUAUUAUGAAUAAAGACUUAAAAGCAUAACCACAAAUCUAAUCUUCCAUAAACAAUUAUUAGUUUAUGCGCGUGUAUAAAUAUUUUAAUUUUCAAGUUCAACACAAUUUUUUGAAUGAAAUUGAUAAUUUUACAUGAAAAUCGUUUCUAUGAAAUUGAUAAUUUUACAUGAAAAUCGUUUCUAUAAAACUCAUAACUAAUGUUUUUAUUGUCACUAUACAUCUACAUCGACACUUUUCAUGUGAAAAUAUCAAUUUACUUUUUUGAAUUAAUCUACCAUAAUAUGUAGGAAAUUAUUAAAUUCACAAUAUUUUUUGUUAUUUUCACAACAAAUGUAUCGUUGUAGAUGUAUAGUGACGGUGAAAAUCGUCACUAUAUGAUCUAAAGCGACACUUUUAUUAUAAAAAUAAUAAUUUUUAUUAUAAAAUUAACAAUUUCUUAAUAUGUAGUGUAGUAGGUCUAGAGCUAGCCGUUGCAAUAAUGAAACUUUACUACUAUUUUACUACUUUAUCUAUUAUGAUCCAUACCUCAUCUAUUACAAAAACUCUACUUGGGCGAUAUAAAAAUUAAACAUGAAUAUAUUUGAAUUUUAUUUAUUUAUAUUUUAACACAAGACAAAAAUAUAAAUAAUUUAAAUUCAAAUAUACUUGUGUCUAAUUUUUCCUAUCCGCAUAAAAAAGCUCUAUCUAUUAUCUACAAUAUUAGCCUAGCCGAGGGAGGCCAUGGCCCCAUCUAGCAUUUCUAAAAUUUCACUAUAACUCUGGAGCUCUUUUAAGUGGAUAUUAAAAUUAGACAUGAAAAUUGAACAUGAAUUUAUUUGAACUUCACUUAUUUAUAUUUUUACUCAUCAUUGGAGGUCAAAAUACAAUUAAAUAAAAUUCAAAUAUAUUCAUGUCCACAUAGAAUUUUUGAUAACUCUAAAAAUUGAAUUUAAAAACCUUACCAUAUUUCUUUUGUAAUCUUUUAUGUAAAAUAUUCAACAACUAAAAAACAUAUCUAUACACUUAAUAAAGUGGUGAACCCAUUCCAAAAUAUAAUACUUUACCAAUAUCGGUAAUAAUUAACUAAAUUUUUAGUUGUUUUUCAUUUACAAAGAAAUGAAUUAUUUUACUUUUAUAAGUUAAUUGAAUUUAUUGCUUUCAUAAUUAAUUAUUUAUUAGUAACUAUAUGGGAUAGACUCAAUAAUUUUGUACAUGAGAAAGAAUAACUUAGAUUUUCAAUAUGUUCAAUUAAAUAUAAAUUUAUGUAUCUAAGAAAAUUUUGUUUUGAGUGUCGUUUUAAUUGAGAGAUUAAUUUCACUAGAACAUUUCACGCAUAAUAUAUAUAUAUACACUGCAGAAAUGAUCAAGUAAGGGAUUCCUUAUUUUUUUAAAAUGAGGGACUUUUUUUUUUGUUUUUUUUUUAAAACAACUAAAAAAAAAGUUUAAUAUUUUAUGGAACUGAAAUUUUUCCAUAAUACAAUGUUUUAGACGUGUUUUGAAUACCUAUACCAAAAAGUGGUGGUACAGUCUGCCCAGACUGUACAUACAUUUUUUGUUAUACGUACUCAAAUCACACCCAAAAUAUUGUAUUAUGAAAAAAUUUCAGUUCUAUAAAAUAUUAAACUUUUUUUUUUAGUUGUUUUAAAAAAAAAGCAAAAAAAAAGUAAAAAAAAAAAAGUCCCUCAUUUUAAGAAAGUAAGGGAUCCCUUACCUGAUCCUGACCCAUAUAUAUUGUACUUUCACAAACAUAUAGUUAUUAUAUUAAAUAUUAAUAUUACAAUUUUUCAUAAUUAUUUUGGCUCCUCCCGAUUUGAAUUCCUAGAUCGGAGUAAUAUAAUUUAUGCCAUGUUCAUAAUUGUAUCAAUUUUUUUGUAUUCUGUGUUUUAUUAUUCCAAAAGUGUUUAUAUAUAUAUAUAUAUAUAUAUAUAUAUAUAUAUAUAUGUAUUAGAAAAUAUAUACAAUAAUAUUCAAUAUAAAUUAAUACAACUCUUUAAUUAUAAUAAUAUUAUUAUAAUUAUAAUACAUACUAUACUUAUUUAUAAUAAUAUCAAAGGGGGUUGUCAAUAUGUUUAUAUUAGAGCAUCUCUAAUGUCUUUUCAACUAUUUUAGAAUACUUUAAUAGGUAAACUACAUCAGAAAAAUAAUAUUCAACAGUCUUUUCAAUUUUAGUCAUUAAAUCUGCAACCUCCUUCAUUAUUAAGGUUAAAAAUAUUUAUUACUUUUGAUGAAUUUGAUAUAAAAUUCAUUGAAUUGAAAAGACUGAUUAAACACGAAAUAUAAAAAUAAUAAAUAAUAUUUUUUAAAUUAUGAUAUAGUUCAACAAACUUUGAAGAUUUUUUUACUUGUACUCUUGAAUAUGCUCUUACUUUUUAUAGUUUUCAUUCCACGAGUGGACCCCAACCCUACGCAUGGUCCACAGUUUCUAUAGUUCAAAUUAGUCCUUCAGUCCUUGUCAUACAAUUAUACAAAGACAUACUCCCUCCCUUACUUAAUACAUGUGAUUUUAGAGUCACGUACAAAUAUUAAAAAAAAUAAUUAUAUAAUAUUAAAUGUUUAUAUUAAAAAAAGUGAGUGUUAUUUAGUGAAUAAAAAAUAAUGAAAAAAUUAAAAUUAUAUUUAAUAUUUGGAAUAAUAUUAGAAAUUAAUCAAUUAAUAUUUAAUUAAAAUUCUUAAACGACUUAUAUUAAGUGACAAAAAUACUUCUCUAAAACGACUUAUAUUAAUGAACGGAUGAAGUAUUUAUAUACAGACCACAUAAUUUUUCUAAAUAACUCCAUUAAUCUCCUUCUCGAUCGAGAUGGUAUGAUCAAUCCAAAGAAAUUAAUACAACUGAAAAAUACAUAAAUAUAAAAUAAUUUAAUUAAGAAACAACGUACUCUUAAACAUGUACAUGUAGUAUUAACUCACUUAUUUGUACACAUAACGUAAUUAAGAAAUUAAUAAAAACCAUGGAAUUCUUGCGGUGAAAAAAAACACUUAAAUGAUUAAAAAGAAAAACCAAGUUGAACCCAUAUAUAUUUCUAGUUAAUUAUAUAUGCAAAAUAAUUAACUCAAUAAUUAAGUAAUUAAUGACGUAUAUAAUUUAUUGAUUAUAUAUCUAGCUAGCUAGUUGCGAGGGCGGGUAUUCUCCGGUCCGGCAACCCCGGUGACCACCUUAGCCACGUCCAAUGCGGUAGCUUCGGGCUUCUUGUGGGAGUACAGGGUAAUGUAGCCAAUGCCCACAGCAACGGCAAACCCACCGAUAGCCAUUGUUGGACGAAAAUGCACUUUGCUCCUCUGUUGAAGAACUCCGGCUGCGUGGGCUCCGGCAUUUUGAAGUUUUGGCCUUGCCUGCUGAUCGACUCCGGCGGGUGCGUGUGAUCCGGCUGCCAUUUUCUUAUUUUAUUUCUCUCUUCUUCCUUUUAAAUAUAUAUAUAUUUUUAUGAUCUAUAUAUCUUUCUUUCUAUAUAAUUAAUGUUGUUUAAUUUAUGGGUUUUUAGGUGUGCAUGUGCAUGGUUAUGUAGAAGUUUAUAGAGAGAAGAAAUAGGGGAUGGGAGGGAGUAAUUUAAUUGGCUUCAUGACCUCUAGUUUAUCUUUUUCGCCGUUGUUUGAGGACCUACCUACCUACCUACCUACCUACCAACAUUUGACUUAAUUGAGACCAAUCUAGAUUAAAGGAAAAGGAACAAACACAAAAUGAAUCAAUGAACGGUACUUGAUUGGUUUUUUUGAUUAUUAAGUUAAUAGUCUAUUUUUUAAUAAAUUUUAAGAGUUUAUAUAUUUGUAUUAAGAAUUUUUGUAAAUAAUUUAUACUCAUAUUUAUAUCUUAAUUAUUCGGAGUGAACUAUUAAAAUGUAUUAAAAUGCAAUCAAAUAAUACCUUAAUCAAAUAUAGUUAUCGAUAAUGAUAUAUAUUGCGAAUAUUUAUAUUAUUUUUUUGAUUAUUAAUUAUAUCAAUAAGUAUUAAUGGGGAUAAAAAACCCGUAUCCAGUAUCCAACAACUCAAACUAUACAAGGGGAUGGUAUAAUUUGGGUUGCUGGAUACGAGAUCUUCGUAGUAGGAUGGAUGUCCUCCUAUAAUUUCUAGCAAUUUUAUGUAUUCAUAAGUCUUACAAUUGUAAUUUAGUAUAAAUUUAUCAUAAUACAUAGUUGGACUUUAUGAUUAUUAAAGAAAAAAGAACAUAUAUAUAUAUAUAUAUAUAUAUAUAUUCAGCAUUAAUUAAAAUUGGGUAUAAAAAGUAUUCAAUAUGGAAAAAUAUUAAGUUUUGGAUAGGGAAAGAUACCUCACGUUUUAUAAUUAAAAAAAUAUCUUUUAAUUUUUAAAAUGAGAAAAUAAUGAAUGUGUUAAUUAGUUUUCCAUUUAUUAAAGGAGUUGUCAACAUUUUGAGAGAAAAAAUUUCUCAAAACAGCUAGCGUAAAUGGUGCAUUAACAAGUUCUACCAUGUGUAUUAAUUGCACAUUUUACAUUUACACUAAAAUUAUAAUUUUUGCACCAGAAAUAUCAUUUCACUUUAUUAAGAAUAUUUUUUUUCUUUAUCAAUUUAACAAAUUUAAAUAAUAAUCUAGUAUAAGUACAUACUUAUAUGACCUGUCAAAUUGAAGGAUACACACUACAAAUGUAAGGUUCUCAGCCCUCCACGCCUCAUAAUACCUUUUCAAUAAAAGAGAACAGCUACAGGUUAUGUUCUUCAUAUAAAUAUACUACCCACCUAAAUCUCAAUCUCCCUCUCUCACACAUAUUCACACAUUGUGAGUGUAAAUGGCCAAGAAAGAGAUGGAAGUAGUAAAGGGUAUAGACCUAGAAAAGUACAUGGGCAGGUGGUAUGAAAUAGCUUCAUUCCCUUCAAGAUUUCAACCCAAAAAUGGUGUCAACACAAGGGCAACCUACACUUUGAGAGAUGAUGGUACUGUCAAUGUUCUGAAUGAGACCUGGACUGAUGGGAAAAGAGGGUUUAUUGAAGGAAGUGCUUAUAAGGCUGAUCCUUCUAGUGAUGACGCCAAACUCAAAGUCAAAUUCUAUGUUCCUCCAUUCCUCCCCAUCAUUCCUGUUGUUGGAGAUUACUGGGUUUUGUACCUUGAUGAUGAUUAUCAGUAUGCUUUGAUUGGCCAACCCUCCAGGAAGUAUCUAUGGGUAUGUUCAAUUAUUUUUUCAAUUUACAAAUAUAAUUAUGCAUAGAUUUGUAAUUCAUGUGCAGAAUUACAUAACUCCAAAUUCACAUGCAUGUACUAACUUCAACCUAAAAUUGCACAAAAUUUGUUUGUGAUGGCAAAACAUUGUAAUUGGCUACCAUUAUCGCUGCCUGGUUUUUUUUCCCUUCAAUAAUAAUUAGGAUUAAUAAAUUUGGGUUUCCUGUAUUGCUUUGGGGAGAAACUAUAUUUGACCCAUUAAAUUUAAUUAAGCUUUUUGGGUAAUAUUUAAUGGCAUCAAUUACUUGAACAAAAUAAGUGAAUAACAUUAACACUGUGAUUCAGAGGAAGGAUUCUAUUACUUUAUAGAAUUGGAUCAAAUUAAGCUUAGAACUUGGAUUAAUUCCAAGACAUGGAUUGUAUUACUCCAAAUGGUGAAUUUUACAAGUUAUAUUACAGAAUAUUUUUUUCUUUCUUGUUGUUGCCGUUAUAUUCUUAUUGUGAUUGAUUAUUGUGGAUGGUGUUUGGUUUCAGAUAUUAAGCAGGCAACCCCAUCUUGAUGAAGAAGCCUACAAUGAGCUUGUUGAAAGGGCUAAAAAUGAAGGCUAUGAUGAUGUCAGCAAACUGCACAAGACACCACAAACUGAUCCUCCACCAGAGAGUGAAGAAGAUACCAAAGGAAUUUGGUGGAUCAAAUCCAUUCUAGGUAGAUAGAAGGGAAAGGGCAGAUGGUGUGGGCACAGAUUAUAUCAGCUAUAGCCUAUAGCAAUAAAAGCGUGUAUGAGUAGUUUUUAUUUUGCUUCCAAGUUUUGCUAGUAUGAAAGUAACGUUUAGUUGUGGUACGUACGUAUGUAUUUAUUGUGAUUUGUGGGUGACUUGUUGGUAUUUUCAGUUGGAAAUGGAAGAAAUAUGAAACUUAGGUUCUAAGGAUGAGCGGUGGGGUCUUGUUCACAACUUAUAUCGGUCUUUGUCAAUCAAUGGAUUAGGUGGUGCCUACUGAAAUAUGCUUGUAACUUGAUGCGAUUGUAUCCGUAUGCAUGUGCUUUUAUAUUCCACGGUUGUUGUGUUUGCCUGUUUAGUUUGUUUAGUUGCCCAAAGAAGCUGCUGUAAACAAACAAGCAGUAAUUAACUCUUCCCAGCAUUGCUCUGCUGUCUACAUAUUUUUUUCUAGUUUAAAUUCAAGCUUACCAUUCAUAAUAAACAUUGCAGAGAUGGUUAAAUCAUGAUCACCAGGUAACCAUUGGCAUUGGGUAAGGACCAAAAGUAUAAGUUAGUAAUUGAAGAUAAAAAAAAUUGAACUAGUACACAAAAAAUCAAGGACAUUUCUGGUAGGCUUGUUUUUGAGAUAUUAUUCCUAUCCAUUUUGUAAAGAAAAGAAUGACAGGACACUGGAAUGUGCAAAAAUCCAUAUUUCAAAAUGAACUGGCUGCGGUGUUAUAUGUGGAUGCCAUAAACAACCCCAAGUAAACAAUGAGACAGAAUUGAAUUAAUGUAAACAAGAAGUAAGCAUACAAAUAGUAUAUUUUAACAAGAAAAACAUUGCCAAUAGGCCAAUACUAUUCAGUAUUUGCUUUCUUCAAUCUCACAAGCCAGGAUACAAGAGGGAAGAACCUAUGUUCCAUCUUGAAACAAUCUAUUAGCGAUAUUGACAAUAAUUUUGUGAAUCGUCAUCACAUUUAACAGUAUGACAAGGAAUCCAUGGUCGCUUCAGACGCUUUUACAAUAUUGUACAGCAUUGAUUGGUUUUCUUCGCCUGCUUGUAGAACAUCUGUUUAAGAAUAUCACCAGUAGGCUCUUGUGUCAGCAGUGACCCCGUUUAUUUUCACAGCAAUAAAACAAAGGAUCAUAACAUAGAAUUUAAAUUAUAGAUCCGUAUAAAAAAAAAUACAACUUCUUAUAAAAGAAUCCACAAUCAUGGGAAAAAAAAUAAGGGCCAUUAACAGGUGACAAGCUUCUUGAAGAGAUGAGAAAGGUCUCACAUGAAUAUACUGAAAAACAAUGAAACAUGCUUUAAAAAGCACGAGAGAUGGCAUCAAUCCGUAAAACAACCACCACCUCAACACUUGGCUUUUCCACUAGGCUAAGUGGGUUGAAUCAUGACCCAAGGAUUUUCCUUUCCUACUAUAAUUGGAAUGAAACUAUAUAGCAUACACCUCAAACUUAGCAGUCAAAUUUCACAACCUUGGAUGUUUUGUCCUCCACUGACCGGGAAUAAUUGACUUCCAAAGACGACAAAAUAACUCAAUAAAAGCAUAUUUUUAUUCAACUAAUAGACCUAACUAGCCUAGAUGUUCAUUUAUAACGUUGUUCUCAUAUGCAAAGAGGUUACAUGUUACAUGCAGGCACAAAGCCACACUGGGCUUAGUAGGUGGUCGGCCAAACCACUCAACUUUCCUCUAAUUUUAUUUUUUUAUAUAUAUAAUAUAGAGCUUAAUUGAGGACUUAAUGAAAAUCACUGGAUAAACUAUGCUUGAGCAAAUAAAGUUCAGAAAUAGUUUUAAUUAAUUUUUCCCCAGAUAGACAUACUUGCAAAAUUACACGAGCAUCUGUACAACAUAAACUAAAACCUGACCUGAACAUAACCUUCUGAAACAUUAAUAGGAAGAAAUACAAAAAAGAUAACUGGUAAACAUGGAAUGAAAAUUGAAAUCAUUUCCAUUGUAGGAAAAAUAUUUUAAAUUAUCCCCAACAAAAUACCAAAAUGCUAACAAAAUGUUUUACAAAAACACAAUGCCUGUAACUGAAACCAAAUAAAUCAGCCCAUAGAAACAGUAAAAACUGUGGACAAGCAUCUUCUCAGUAUCUACACUUAAAUACAGCAGCAAAAUCCAACUCCGGACACUAAGAAUUCAAUCAUGUUUUAUGUUAUACAUGUAUAUUAGUAUCCUCAGAAUUAGUAUAGAUCCUCAUUAUCAGAACCUGGGUCGAGUUGGACAAUGAAGGCAUGAUCCUAGCUAUAUUUUUUAAGCACAGUUUGGAAAAAGCAAAAGUUACUCGACAAUAAAGACGUACACACAUUAAAUCAUCCUAUUGAUAUUUACACCAAAUAGCUGCUGGCUUACAUGGACUCUUCAGUUGAGGGUGAUGACAUGGGUGUGGGUAUGGAUCCAUGUCGGAUCCUUCACAUGUCGAUCAGACACUUCGAGUCACCAACAAUUGAUAUUAUACCCCAUAAACUUGAUGGUAUUUUGAAUUUGAACCAAUAAUUUUGGUACUUCUUUCACUGAAUCUGUCAUACUUAAGUCAUCACAUCCCACUAAUCAUCUUCUAUAAUCAAAAUUCACACUAAAUGUUCGACAUUCUUUCACUAAAUCACAUACUAUUAACUUUAAACAACAUGACUUGUAUCCACAAAACCAUAUCUAAAAAAAAAAACUUUUUCGCUGAGUUCCCGAAUUUUAUUAUUUUAAUAAUAGACAAGUCUAACACCAACACCCGACUCCCAUACCCUAGUCCGUGUAACAUAGUAUAGUUGUAAUCAUGUGAUAAUCUAUAAACUUAUAUAGGCACAUAACAUUUGAAUCGUAGAUUUCAAAAAAGAGUUGCACAACAUUAAAGUGACGAUAGAAUACAAACUUUGCCUUGAGCAAAGUUUGUAAUUUGGUGAGUUCAACUGCGAGGGCCCAGAUCAAAUGUAUGUAGUGUGUACCUGUGAAGCUGUACUAAGAUCCGAACUCUUCUCAACUAAACUGUCCAGCUUCUCCCCUCGAGCAAGAACACUAUCGAUGGUCUUGUGCUGUAGCAAAUAAUAGCAUGCAUGACAUACAUAACAUUAGGCGAAACAAAAGAAGAGCAGAUAAAUAUGAUUUAGUGUGCAAUAGGUGAAAAUUGUCCAUUCAGGUGAACAUUGUAAAACUCUAAUCCAUAUCACCAAAAUAACAAAUAGAUCAUCUUAUCUCACCGUUACAACUAAAGUAAUUACAACAACAAUCCACGGAACAGCAGUAUGUCAUGUAUAACAGAAAGAACCCAUGGCGAUUAAGAUAUUUCAAUGCAUAGCAUUUCUAUACAAGUCAACUCCCAGAAUAAUCCAAGAUAACCAAGGUUGACUCUCCAAGUAUUCAUUGUUGGGUCCUAGCACUAGGUGAGUUGUUUUUACUUUGGUUUUUAAGCACAUUAUUUUGGAUAUUCCAUAUAUGUAACUAAAAAGUACCUUGUGCUAAGAUUUAAAACAAAAACAGUGGCUUGAAACACCCGAGACUACCUAUGAAAAAUUCUCUGAAAAACACUGGUGAAGACCAAAUGUCAAUCCAUACUGCAACCCUUUAUUCGUUUUCUUUGUCACGAGCUGCUAAAUGCAAAUGGAUUUCCUCAAUACCAAUCUCAGCUACUAGCUUAAACCGGAAAAAUGCUAAACAUCCAUUUCACUUGGGGGAAAAAGUUGGUCACUUAUCAAGGGACUUGUGAUAUAUGGAAGUGACAUGAAGGGGUCUAUGACUUGCCAGGGAUCAAUUACAUGUUUGCUAUUUUUAACACGCAAGUUGAUUGUUCGAAGUUUAAUGGCAGCUUUAUUGGGGUAUGGAGAGGAGAUAAACAAGAUCAAGCGGUCUCUCAGCCCCACUUUAUUAGAUGUGGACUAUGGACAGAAAGAAACAUUAAAAAAAAACCUUCAUAAGACGGGGCCAGUAUCAAGUUGCAGCACUUUUCAGUAGUUUUGCUCGUGGAUUUUUUGGGGGGAUGUCCAGUAUUAAGGUAUAGCAUUGUCAGUAGGUGCAGUACUUGUCCGAAGUCUUUCGAUUGGCUCCAUAUUAGGUUGGCCAUGGAAUACUGGUUUGUAGAUGUUAUGGUGGAUGCUUGGUAUCAUAGGUGUCCUUAGUGAUAGUCGGGUGCUUAUUUUUCUCUUUCUUUGUAGAAGGGUUGCACGCUGUUUAAGAGCUAUUGGCUGAAUACACUUUUCUGGUGAUAAGAUAGUUAAAUAAACUUUUUGUUUUCUUUUCUGGAAAGGUUAGAUUUGAUAGUAAAAUAAACUUCCUGUCAACUCUGUCAUAAAAUGUAAUAAAGGGGAAAAAAAAGAGAAAUAUGAAGUAAGGCCUGCAUGACACAUCAUCACUCAUCAUGUAAAAUCAGCCAGUGUCAUCAAACAAAGUUAAUUUAGAGCUCCUUUACAUUAAAAACCAUGCACUAUACAACAACAGACAACCUCAAUUUUUCUAAAAAAAAUUGUCUUUUCUGAUUUGAUAUGGUAAGGAAUUAUAGACAUAUUUGAACUAAGUGAAACCAUAUUUAUUAAUUUUCACCCCAGGUUACAAAAUCUUUCAAGUAACCAAACAGUAGUGCCACACUGCCACACUGAGAAUAUGAUCAACUGGAAAACUAGUAAUAAAUGCAAUUAAAUAUCAGGACUCACGAGUAUAAUUUUUGUUUCAUCCAGUUCCCUCUGGAUUUUCAACAACUUGUCUGCCUCAGCAGGGUCCUGAAUAAACAGAAAAUGGGGUUCAGGUUCAUCAGCAGCUCAAGUUUCAAAACUAUAUGAAAAUUUAGAGUUGAAAAAAAUGGAGAAAUACCACUAAGUCUUAUGUACCCAUCCAACAGUGAUAAAGAAACUUAAUAUCUACCUGAAAUUUUGUCAAAGCAUCAUUGAGGUAGGGCCAUGGUUGAGAGUUAUCUGCUUGCACAGUUCUCCACGACUCACCAAAAUUCUUUUGGUACUCAUCUAUUACCUGACAAGUAUUUAAUAGGUUAUCAGAUCAAAAAUUUAACAGUCUGGCACAUGAACACAUGUAUGCUUAUUAUUCUAAGAUACUAGUAGAGGUCACCACUCACCACCUUUCCCAACACUCGAACCCUUACAGAGAAUGUAGAAAUAGUUCUAAGGGUCCUUCAUGUACUUGUUUACCAUCUUAUAAGGAAUGAUGCAUUGUCCGUCCUUAUUUCCCCCCUUCUUUUCAUUUUAUAUAAUUUCUUGAUUUUUAUUAAUAAUAUAGAACAUGAGCUUACUAGCAUUUAGCAGCAAUAUGUAGAAUGAAAAUAUAGAUGGAAUACUCAAAACAUACAAAUUAUAUUACAGUUUUAGAAUAUCUAUUAUCUGUAACACAGGGUCACGAGUGUCAAACUGUAAAGUACAUGGCAACAUUAAAAGAUCACAAUGCUGGAACACAGGUGAAGCAUGUGUAUUUGAACAGAUGAUUGUAGUCAUAUAUCUAUAUAAUAAAAUAGAAUCCAUUUUGAAUCUUUCAUUUGACCAAGCACAAGAUGGUUCAGAUUCAUUCUAACUUGAUUCUUCCAACUUAAUCUAAAGGCUCAUAUUUCUUCCCGCCCAAAUCAACUUCACCCCUACACCCUACUCUCUCUCAUGUUCACACACAAAAUCUUUCUCUCUCCUCUCUUCUUCACACACACAAACAAAUAAUAAUAAUAAUUAUUAUUAUAAUAAUAGUACUAAUAGUACUAAUAAUAAUAAUUAUGCUUAUUAUAAUAGUACUACUACUACUAAUAAUAAUAGUAAUAAUAAUAAUAAUUAUUAUUAUUAUUAUAAUAGUAAUAGUAAUAGUAAUAAUAAUAAUAAUUAUAGUAAUAAUAAUAAUUAUUAUAAUAAGUAUAAUAAUUAUUCAGAUUCAUAAUUAAUAAAUAUUCAGAUUCAUUCUAAUUAAUUUGGGCGGGAAAGCACAAGUACGGAUCAGAUUAAUUCUAAUUUUAAUUCAAAAAAAUAAUUAUUAUAAUAUAAUAAUUAUUAUUAUAAUUAUAAUACUACUACUACUACUAAUACUAAUAAUAAUAAUAAUGAUAAUAAUAAUAACAAUAACAAUUAUAAUAACAAUAAUAAUACUAACAACAACAACAACAACAAUAAUAAUAAUAAUAACUAUUAUUAUAAUAAUAAUAAGAACAAUAAUAAUAAUAUUUAUAAUAUUAAUUAUUAUUAUUAUUAUUAGAACAAUAAUUAUAAUAAUAAUAACAAUAAUAAUUAUAAUUAUAAUAAUAAUAACAAUAAUAAUUAUAAUUAUAAUAAUUAUACUAAUAAUAACAAUAAUAAUAAUAAAAAUAAAAAUAAUUAUAAUUAUAAUAAUAAUAAUAGUAAUAGUAAUAAUAACAAUAAUAAUUAUAAUAAUAAUAAUAAUAAUAACAACAACAACAAUAAUAAUAACAAUAAUAAUAACAAUAAUAAUAAUUAUUGUGAUAGUGUGGUGAAUUAUGAUAAUUGUUAUUGAUAAUUGUAAGUUUUGUAGACAAGUUUAGAUUUUUCUGUAUAUCUAUUUUUAAAGAAAAAUUAAUUAUUGUGGUAGUGUGGUAAAUUAUGAUAAUUGUUAUGUCUGAUUGUAAGUUAUUUUAAGUUGCAAAGAGUCUUUAGGUAAUAUAGUAUUUUUCAAAUUUUAAUCUAAUUUUUCGUUACGCCAUGUCUUCAGACACGGACAAUUACUAGUAUAUUUAUAUAACACAGCAACCUAAAAAUAAAGGCCAUGUUUGGCAUGGAAAUUUCCCUUAAACAUGUAUUAUUGUAUGAUAUUGGCAAACAAUAUCAACGCACCUGUCAUUUAAAAUUUGAUGAGAAGCAUACAGGUAAGUUGACACAUAAACAGUUAAACACACGUAUUUUAAAUCAGUAACAAUAGUAUCGAAAUCAUGGAAGCGGGGUAUAAUAAGGGACAAGACAAUAGUAGAUAAAACUUUUACUAAGCCACUAAUCAAUUUCAUUAACUAAUUGAAGUUUCAAGUCAAUAAUCACAAUAAAAAUAUAAAUAAGUCUAAACGACCUUUUUGGUCCUAGUAUUCUAUACUUUGUUUCACUUAAAUCCUUCUACCUUUUUCCCCAUAAUUGUCCAUGUACUCCUUGGAAAAGGAUCAAAUUGAUUCAGAGUUUGGCUAAGUUAGACCGGUUGACGUGGACCUGAGGUAAAUAUUAUCAGUCUCAAAAUUAAAUUGAAGUCAAGUAACUCAAAGUCAAGUAAAUUAGUUGCCCAAAGUCAAGUAACUCAAUAGUGCCUUUUAUGCCAAACUAGUAGGGUAAGCUGAAAUGAAUCCAAUACGUAAAGAGUAAAGUAGAAUUAUAGAAGUAAGGCAAGAAAAAGAAUUAAAAAGAUAAACAAAUUAAAUACAAUAGAAAUAAAUACAAAAUUUACAAUAAAAGAAAAGAAAUGAAUUUAGUAAAUACACACACAUAAAUAGAAAAACAAAUUAUAUGUAUUUAAAUUGAAAAAUAAAGAAAGAAAAGGGUAAUAAAAAGAGAGAAACAGAAAAAAACAUAAGAAAAGGUCCAAAACACCCUACUCGGACUCCGAAAUGAGUGGCCCAAAAAAUGAAAAUUCUUAGCUGGUAUUUCUCAAAUCAUUUAUGUGAAAAUUAAUUUUUUUUACUAAAAAGAACAUAAAAGGCCUCUCUCUUUGCUUUCACUAUCUCUACAAAACCAUGAUAGCCUGGCACCAUCAAUGCCGCCCCACACUUUCACUACCUAGAGGCUACAAACCAUUGGGUCGAUUAUCCUCUCCCCCACCAACGGUCCAACUCCACCCUUGACGUUCCUUCCCCCUUUUUCACCAUUAUGGCUAUUCUUAGCGCUGUAGAAAGCAGAAAAAUCCCAGGUACAAUUUUUCAUUUAAUUUUUUGAUUCUUAUUGUAUCCUUCUUGUGGACAUAUCAACCAGUAAAACUUGGUCACGUAAAUUGGCUUGAUUAAUUUGGCCUUUUUUCCAGGAGUACAUUGGCAAUUAGUUUUUUUAAAAUAAAAAAAAUACCAUGGUUGUAUAUCUUUACUGAAAAUAUCUACAAGUUCUGUCAAGUCAUCCUGGAAAUGCACAAUAAAAUUACAACAAAAUGAACGAAAAUCUGGAAAGCCAGCUAAAAUGCACCAGUAUGCAUUUUCUAAAUAAACACAAUUUUGCUCCAGUAAUACAAAAACAAUAAGAAAAUAUGGACUCACCUGGUUGAGCAAGGAAAAUGCACUUCGAACCGGGUAAUGAUCAUCCAUAAAUCCUAAUGCACAAAGACCAUUCCUAUUAUAGGAAUGCACCUUGUACUCUGUCAAGAAAAGAAGAAAACACAAUAAACAUAGGGAAUUUAAAAUAUUUGGAUUGACACCCCCAAAAGAAUAUACCAAAUUUCUAUUGAGAAGGUCGUCCAAUUAAGCAUCUCACAUCAUAAAAUGCAGUUACGGGCAAUUCAAUCCAGAGCUCCAUGAGUCACAGCUCAAGAGCCAUUCUACUAACAUUAAAUGAUCAACAUCCUAAUUUGAAGGUAAUAUAGAAACAGAAAAAAAAAAAACUUCCUUCAAACUCCAUAACAAGUCAAACAAACUUCACAAGCACAGUGAGUUAAAUUUAAAAGUCUCCUUCAUUCUAGGGCCAGAAAUCUGGGAAACCCGAUAUAUUAGCAUUCAGAUUGUUUCAAUUUCUUAUAAAACCCCAUCAAAAUAUCUAAUAUACUUAUAGACAACCCAUCUCCCUUUAUCAUCAAUUACUUUUCCUCGUGUGUCAAUUUUUAUUUUGUUCUAAGCAAUUCCAACUCCACAUCCAAAACCAGAUCCUAAUUCAAACAAUCGCUUAAAUUUUUUAAUCAAACGUAAUCCAACAAAAUAUGCUAUAUUAAAACGUAACUCUUCCUUCGAAAAACGUAAAGAAAUAAAUAAAUAAAUAAUUGAAUCAAUAAGAAAAGUAUAAGGAUUGAUACCUUCGUGUUGAACGGAUUGGCGUUGGCUGGGUGGAGUCCGACUGGCAACGGUCCGUCCUACGAAGACAACGAAUUCCUUAACGCUGGACCUCUGAAAAUAGCCGAAAUGCCUCACAUCCAUGGCGUUGGCUAAGAUCACCGGAUCCGAACCGGUCGGAUCGCAUUUAAGUACCAGUAACGCCGUGAUCUUCAUCUCUUCCCUCUACUUUUUCUCCCUCCUCUUAAGCUCCGAGAACCAAGAACCAGAAGAAAGAAAGACAGAAGUUCUCCGUUCACAAUAUAAAAUUGAUUCGAUGGUCGCGUUAAUCUCACAGUCCGCAUAUCUACACAAUAUCUUUUUCUAUUCUUUUUUCCUUCUUUUUUUUUUUUUUUUUNNNNNNNNNNNNNNNNNNNNNNNNNNNNNNNNNNNNNNNNNNNNNNNNNNNNNNNNNNNNNNNNNNNNNNNNNNNNNNNNNNNNNNNNNNNNNNNNNNNNUUGAAUAAAUAAACGUGUUAUUAAUAAGAUGUUUCCGUGUGGUCGAUGUAUUUGUAGUGUGUUACAAUAUCUAUGUUUUGCCAUACGGUACCUACCUCGAUUGGCCCUCAGUCGGUAUCACCCCUCAUUUUCUUGUUCCUUUAUUUUAUGCUCUCCUAAAUACACAUGCAAAUCAACCGAACCGAUUUAAAUUUUGUCGAAUUUGAAUCAAACCCGAAUUGUUAGUUAAAUUUAAAUAUAUUCGAGUAAUAUAAUUGAACCAACACUCAUGUGUGAGUUCGAUUGUUAAUUGUUCGUGAACUGUUCACAGACAUGAUCGAGUGAAUCGUUCUCAAACGUUCACGAAUACAUGCUCGUUCGCGAACGUGAUUAAGUUCACGAAUAUUUUGACGAAUCACGUCGAGUGAUUAUAUUUCUAACUUCCAAGUCGAUUAAUAAAUUGUACAUGUAAGAAAUCGAAUCACUCGGACCCAUGUUAGAAAUUGAAUUACUCGAAUCGAACCAAAAUCGAACUAUUCGUGAUUCAAACCACAUGGUUUGCAAACAUGUUCGAUUGAGCAAAACCAUAUGCGAACUCGACUCAAUAAUGUAUCAAACUCAUAUUCGAACCGAAUUUUGACCAGCUCUCAACAAGAUAAUUAAAUUUUUUAAAAGAAACAUAACAAUAAAAUAAUAAUAAAGUCUUAAAUUUUUAACCAGCUCUCAUCCUAUUUUAAACUGGUUUUCAGAUUUAUACUCUUAAAUGACAUACAUCAUUGCUGAAGAGGAUAAUAAGCCUACCUAAAAUCAUUACCAACAAUCUAUUCAACUUAAAUUUGUAGGUAUGUAAAAAUGGAACCUAAAUUUUAAGAGCACCUAACAACAAACGAAUGGAUUUUAGUGUUUCAUUUCAUGUUGGCUUUUUGUGCAACUCCAAUUUACUCAAACAUCACAAAAUUUAUGUUAUUGUUAGCCUUUUCAUAUAUUUGUAGGGUAUCAGUUUUUACAUAUUAAAUAAAAAAUGGGCGAAUAUUAUUAUUUGGUUAUAUUUAUAUAUUUGAGGGGACGACUAAAUUACUAAAAAAUAUUAUCUCUUAUAUAUAUGUAAACCUCAAGUAUAUAUUUAUGUUUACUCUUAAAGAUAAUGAAUGAAUUCUUAGUUUAGUAAUGAUAACAAAAUAGUGAAAAUAUGAUGUUAAAUUUAGAAUUUUUUUGUCAUUUUGUAUUAUUAUUAGUACACAUGCAUGUAUGCCUAAUUUUUUAGAAAUAAAAUUUUAAGAUAAUUGGUGCAAAAAUUUUGGAAUGUGUGGGAAGCUCAUUUAGUCACAACUAUACAUACACUUAUAAAAAUACAUUUUAGGUGUGAAAAAAAUACACUAAAAGUAACCACCUCCCUCCCCUCAUAUUUUAUAGUAAUAUACUAGUCUCAGUAGCACAACAGGCAAUAUGUGUGUAAUAAUUGUAAGAAUAUAAUAAGAAUUUUAUCAAAGGGAUAGAAUAACAAAAAAAAAAAAAAUCAAGAAGAACAAAAUCCUAAUAAAAUUUAGAAAAUUUUAAAUUCACAAUAUAAAAUGUUAUUUCUACAACAAAAGUAUCGCUAUAGAUCGACGAUUUUUAUCGUCGCUAUAUAUAUACAACGAUACUUUUAUUGUGAAAAUAAAAAAAAAUAUUGUGAAUUUAACCAUUCUCAAAAAUAAAAUUUAUAAGAGAAGGAGAUUUGUGACAGUUUCAAGAGCACAGUUAUUCUCUCUCUCUUUCUUUCUUUAUAAUAAGAGAUAAAUAGAUAGAUUAAUAAUUUAUUUAUUUGUUUUGGUUGUUAAGCAAUUGCUUUUAAAAAAUAAAACAUGUAAAUAAUCUGCAUUAUGGAUUAGACUCCCCUGUACUUUAAACAUUUUCUUUAUAUAUCCAAACAGGGAGGUCACAUGCACGCAUGAUGAAUUGGGGCAACCGCCGUUAAUGCAGAAACGACGUGUAGGGUCGUUUCUGUCUUCCCAGCUAACAAAAUUGACUCAUCCUUUUAUAUAUAUAUACCCUUAUCUUAUUCACCCGUGCUCAUCCCUUUUAGGCGGCGGUUUCGGUCAUACAACCGUCGCCUAUACUUUUAGCGACAGACAACAUAUAGCGUCGUUAAAAGUAUAGGCGACGAUUGUAUAACCGAAACCGUCGUUUAAAGGGAGGUCAGCACGGAUGAGGAAGAUAAUGUAUAUAUAUAUAUAAUGAAUGAAUAGUCAAAUACUCCACCAUUUGCAUAUGAAUAUGAAUAUAAAGAAUACAAACACUGACCAUAACGCGGUUUCAACUUUCAUUUAUGAAUUGAAAAUUGAAGUCACACCCAAUACAGCUGUGACGAAUCCAUAAUCUUCAUUACAAUAAUAUUUUGUUGACAGAUCUAUAUUCAAACAAAGUAAAAAACCCACUGCAUCAGAUCUUGUUUUCCUGGAAAUUUCAGAUUCAACUUUUUUGCUUUUGUUUGUCUGAAAACUGAGGUGACCCAUUUUAGAAAGACAAAAACAAAUGACAUUUUUGUUUUGCACUUUCAAGUUAUUUCUGGCCUUUUAAGGUUUGCGUAGAUAUUGUCUUGUUUCGCUAAUUUUGGGAAGUAUUACUACGAAAUUGGGAGUGUUGGUUUUCCAAAGAUGGAAAGUUCAAGAAGUAGGAGAGUGGGGAAGAGAGGGUAUGAAGAGAGUGUGGAGGAUCAGGAGAGUGGUAUACCCCAGUCCAAGAAGCCCAAAUUGCCUGGUUUAGCUAGGUUUGUUCUAUGUUUUCUGCAUAUCUAUUUACAUCAUCCAUUCAAUUUUUUGGGCUUUACUCUUGCAUCCUUAGAUUGGUUUUAAUAUUUGUAUUCUACUUCAUGCUGUCAAAAUGUUAUACUGCUGUCUAUGGACGGUGAGAUUUAUCCCAAACUUUGGACGGUCCAAGUGAUUUAUUAGGAUGAGCGGAAAAUUAAAAAUCAUCUGUAUUUUGUUAUAUAGAUUUGCUAUAUUAUACUCCUAUAUAUACACAUAUAUGUAUUUAUAUAUGAGAUCAAUGUAUAUAAUAUAUGAUAUUAGGAUGUUAAUUUGAUGAUCUUGAUCAUGCAUUGCAUGUUGUUGAUUCAAGUUCAAUAGAGUAAAGGGUAUUUGGGUUUAUUGGUUCUUCUUUAAAUAUACAGGGCCUUAUCAUAAAACAAAAUAAAGCUACUCAAGUAAGAAAAGAUACCAUUAAGUGUAGAAUUCUAUCACACCUACAAUUUCUCAAAUCCAGGAUCAAAUAGAAGAUGCUAGCAAGAUCUCUGUCUUGAUGUUUUUCAAACAGGAAAUAAUUUGUGGAGUAGAACGUCAUAUAUUUGAAUCAAAUACCAGAUGGGCAGAACCCUAAUUUUUAGUGUGUAGCAUCAAUCUGUGUGUCCGAUUGCCUACACUACUUCAUGGAUUAGUCAAAAGCCUGGAUACAAAAGGAUGCUACAAAUGAUGGGAGAACAGAACCUAAGGAAAUCAUUCAUGAGAUCCUAGUGGUACAAGGACAUGUUUUUUCUGUUUGUGUAUAUGUUCCAUUAAUCAUGUAGCACUUUUAGGGCAUGGCAUUAUUUUUAGUUGGAAUGGGGGUAAAUGAGUGUUUUCUUUGCAAUUAAAUCCAUCAGUUACCUUCCCAGGAGAGUAUGCUGCUGGUCAUAUGUCCAGCUUCAUGAGUCUAAAUAACAUGUCAAAAACAAUGUUUUUCUCUCUUUUUAUCUCAUAUUGAAAUACUUAGAAGCUCUGUGGAACUUUUUAUUUGAUUGACCAAGAUUUACUCAAAUUCAGAUUUCAAACACUCGUAUUGCUUGCUCCUGCCUUUUUAAAUUUAACCCUUAUAAACUUCCAUUGAAUUAGACUACUUGUUUGAGUUCUAUAUUAUUUGGUCUAGUCUCAAGUGUUCUGUGUAUUUAAUAUGCUCUAUCGAGCUUUCAGCAUUUUUUGGUUCAUUUAAACAUACCAUAAUUGUUUGUUUCUUUUUGGCAGCGUGAUUGUAGAGUCUUUGAAGGCCGAUAGCUUGCAAAAACUUUGCUCAUCUCUAGAGCCUCUCUUCCGCAGAAUUGUGAGUUGUAGAAUUAUUGUUAUUAUAUUUUACUAUUUUAUUACCUGAUUAUUAAAGAAUAUCAGAUUUUACAAUAUCAAUGCGAGCAAACAUUACGCUUGGCCGCUAUCAUUGAUUAAGGUUGGAGAUUCCAGUAGUUGGUUAACUGUGAAAUGCAUUUUGCAGAUUCAAUGCAUGUUUUUCAAGUUCUAGUUCAAAAAUAAUUAUAAUUCAGAUGUAUCAUGGAGACUACUCUUCCCUACAAUGAUACCUAAUGGUGUCAGGAUAUCUUAACCUUAAUUAUUUUGAAGACCUCUUGCUCUUAUGAUUUGUUGUGUGUGGUUCUCCUCCGAAUGCAUGUUUGUAUUUUUUUUUCUUAAAAGGCUCGAGUUGGAUUAGGCAUCUAUAUACGUCAGAGGAGAAAAAGGUUAUACUUCUGUAAUGCUUUUACUUGUUUGUCUCACUUAUCUAUGUAACCCUCGAACAUGAAUUUAAUUCACUUAUUCGCAAGGGACUUCUAAAGGAAAUUUCACUCUCACUUUGACUUUUCUCUUUCACAACUAUAAUCGUAUGAACAUUUUAGCUACAAGAAAGGCUCCCAAAUGCACUGAAGUAUGUUGCAUUCCUCCAACUUAUUUUACUACCUAGAAAUGUCACCUAUCAAGUAUCAACAUGCCACAUAUCAAAUUUCUUUAUAUUCAACUCUGAAAUUUUAUUGACCUGUGAGCAAAAAUCUUUUUGGAUUGCGCGUAACUUCUUUAUCGUUGUUACUGGAUUACACUGAUAUGGUUUGUUCAUUUGUUGGCUUAGAAACAUAUUUCUGUGAAGUACAAUCUUGGUUCAGUCUUUGAAAUUUUUCUUGAUUAACUAAAUCAUCUUUAGCCGUGUUCAGUGGCAGAAUGGAACUUUCAUAGUCCUAGAAAUGAGACUUAACAUUGUUUAUUAGCAUAAAAAUGGGACCUUAUAUGCAUAUUGUGGACCUGGAAUAUGUUAAAAUCAUUUAUCAGCAUGUAGUGUGACCUGCAUUUCCUUUAAUAGUGUACUUUUGCAAUGGAAAAUCAGGUAAGUGAAGAAAUUGAGCGAGCUUUGACGAAAUUGGGCCAUGCUAAGUUGACUGAAAGGUAAUAAUAUCCUGCAUCUGUAUUUAAUUUUUGCAGUUAAAAUAUCUAAUCUGUUUCCGUGCAUAUUAUGAUACCGGUAUAUUUCCUGAUUUUAUGUAAGAGUGAAUUAAUACACCGACUUGCCAAUGAAACUUGAGAACAUGCUUUGCUUGGGAGUUGGAACUUCAAAAUUUAAAUCAGUAGACAUCAUAAUCUGGAUUUCUAAGCCUAAAAUAUUUUAGCUCAGGUUAGAUUACUGCAAAAGUAGAUACAGAGUGCAAUUUGGAAAUUAUUUUACAGAACAAUUUAUUAAAGCAUCUGCAAUUUGGAAAUUAUUUUUAAAGAACAUCUUAUAUAUGCGAUGUUUUUUUCCCUUGUAAUUUUAUUGGCAGUUGACAUUAUACUCUGGAUUUCUAAGCAUAAAAUAUCUAGCCAUAAAGUUAAUUUACUGCAGAUACGGAUUGCAAUUUGGAAAUUAUUAACAUUUUAUAUCAGGAAUGCUUCUUUUUUAUCGCACAAGGAAAAAAUAUCCUAAACCAUGAACACAUGAACCAAAUUUGAUGUUUUACAGAGUGUAUUUACCCACAUUGAGGUGUUCGAAAUUGAAAAUAACUAGGACUUAGUAUUGUUUAAAAGAUAUUUGUAAAAUCAUCUGAGAGAAAAGUAUUUACUUUUGCUUAUAUAAAAUGGUGAAACAUCAUACUAAUUGUCAUUAGUCAGGGUAGCAUGGAAUUGUUACCUACUUUCCCAUCAGAAUUAACUGAAUGUUAAAGUGCAACCUGGUCAAGAUAGGCAGAGGUGACAUACUUGGUGGUUUCAUGAUGAUAUGGCCUUAAUUCCUAUAUUCUAAGAUGUUGAUUUUGACAUAGCAUGGUUAUGCUGAGUCAAAUAUGUGUCUACAAUCGCUCCCUACAUAUAUGUGUUGGGAUUGACUCAUACUUCUACGGGUUCGACUAAUGGCCACUACGAUAGGGUAGUCGGGGUCUCGCUCACUAGUGAGCGAGUGACUGCCCAGCUUGCCGGUGAGCUGGCGGGGGUUGCAAGGGGGCAGCGCCCCCUGAAAGCCAAGCGCAAAAUGCAAUUUGGCUUGGAAAUUUAUUAGUAGUUCGGUCUUGGGUUUUACUAAUGUAUUGAGCCUCAUAUGUUUGGGUUCAUGUUAUAGCAGUUAGGAUUUUCUAGUUACUAUAAAAAUAUUGUUUGGUGCGUGGAUCAUUGUAGAGUGUGUGAGGCAUCUUAUGAAUACAUCAAACAAGCAGGACUAGCCAAAUUGGUGAAACUGGAUAUAUUGUGUGUUAUUACUUUUCUGUCUUUCAUAUAAUAUAUGUGUGAUUACAAUAUUAUUUGUUCUUAAAUUCUAACAUAAAUACCUUUUCCUUUAACAUAGGAUGUUAUUAAAACAGAACCCUCACCAUAACAAGGUACGUAGGCGUUCUCAUAUCAGGAGUCUAUUCAACUUGAUGAAGCCAUUAUCUAAAACAAGCUUUCUGUAGGAUUAAUGUUCUGAAGAUUUGAUUGAAGCUGUGUUGGUUGUUGAAAAUUUUACAUUACCCUCUACUCCAUCUGCGGCUUAAAAAUUUGCAAUGUUGACAAUAGGAUGACAUGCAAAUUUCUUUUCUCCUAAGGAUCACUUGACAUUUAUAACCAUGGCAAAUGGGAUCACACUUUAUAUGUUCAGAAUUCUGAUCAAUUUCCCUUGUAAAAAUAUCAAUUCCCUAAAUAGAAUGACAUAGAAAUAUUGAUUUUAUUAUUAUUAGUUUAAUUGUAUAUUGGUUCUAGAUUUGAUUCUUAAGCAUUUUUCUAAAGAAAGUACAUUUCUGCUGCAACAGGUCUUCGCCACCACGAAUACAAGGUCCAGAAGGAAAGAGUUUUCAACUGCAUUUCAGGACAAGGAUGCCACCUCAUCUAUUCACAGGUGGAAAGGUUGAGGGAGAGCAAGGUGCGGCUAUCCAUAUUGUCUUGCUAGAUGUGAGCACAGGUAGUGUUGUGCAAACUGGACCAGAAUCAGCAACCAAAUUGAAUGUUGUGGUGCUCGAAGGGGACUUCAAUGAGGAAGUCAAUGAAGUUUGGACAGAAGAACAUUUUGAAAGCCAUGAGGUCAAAGAGCGUGAAGGGAAAAGGCCACUUCUAACUGGGGAUCUACUAGUAAUGCUAAAGGAAGGGGUUGGAACCCUUGGAGAUCUUACUUUCACUGACAAUUCAAGUUGGAUUAGGAGCAGAAAGUUUAGGCUUGGUGUGAAGGUGUCUCCUGGAUACUGUGAUGGAAUCAGAGUUCGUGAAGCUAAAACAGAGGCUUUUGCUGUUAAAGAUCACAGGGGAGAAUGUGAGUUUCUCUUUUGAUUCUUGUGUAAAUAGUGAGAUAUGUAAAAGAUUGGGUAAAAUAUUUUGUGGUGUCUGAGAUGUCUUGAGUGUCUGACUGACAUGGAUAGUAAGCCUAUUAUAAUUCUAGUAUUUUAUUCUAAUGAUUAGAGCAUUAUACACACUUGGUCAAUAUAACAUCCAUUCACAUACAUGAUGUCUUAAUAAUUCCCCUAAAUUAUUUACCCUUUCAGUAUACAAGAAACAUUACCCACCUGCUUUGCAUGAUGAAGUUUGGAGAUUGGAUAGAAUAGCAAAGGAUGGGGCAUUGCAUAAGAAAUUGAUGAAGUCUGAAAUUAUUACAGUUGAAGAUUUCCUCCGCGUUCUUGUUAGGGAUCCACAAAGAUUAAGAAAUGUAAUAGCUUCUCUUUCUGUCGUCUCUUUUUUUUUCCUUCCAAUUAUUUGGUGGAAGAAUUUAAAUUUAGUUGCUUUACCUGUAUAGUACAUCUAUUUUUGUGGGGACUUGAUGCUCUUGAUUGCUUAAUUUUCUUCUUCCUGUGAUAUUUACAAUGUAGAUUCUUGGGAGUGGUAUGUCCAACAGAAUGUGGGAUAACACUGUGGAGCAUGCCAAGACAUGCGUUUUGGGUGGGAAGCUUUACAUCUACUAUGCAGAUCGAGCUCAUAGCAUUGGUGCUGUCUUCAACCACAUUUAUGAGCUUAGAGGACUUAUUACAGAUGGACAGUUCCUCCCUCUUGAAUCGCUCAAUCACAAUCAAAAGGUCAGGGGUUCUUUCUUGUCAAAAAAGCAAGGGUCAAUGGUUUGGCCACAUGUAACUAACUUAUGUCGUUUUUGAAGUUACUCAUGGGAUUUUGUAUGCUUACCUAUGACAGAUUUGGAAAAGAGUUGAAAUUAUGAAUCGAUAGUGGAUGAAUAAAUCAAAACGAGCAUUUUCCAUUUAACUUUCCAAUGGGAAUAUCGGGCAUAAAAACUGUGCAUAAAUACCAUUAUGAUCCUGCAGACAUGCCUACUGAACCACAGAUUGUUAUAGUUUUAUUUACCUCGUUUAAGUGUCAAGUAGGAUAGUUGCAUGUUUCAUUCCUUUUCAUCAGAUAUGAACAAUUCUCACGCUAACUAUAUUUCCAUAACAUGUGCUAAAUAUAAUUUUCUUUACUUUUAUAUAUAUUAGCCUACCCUCCUAUAAUAUUUAAUGUUUCAUUUUUGCCUCAGUUCCAGUUGCCUGCUCUUCUGAAAUAACACCUUCAAAAUGAGUUUGAGAUUGUAAAAUUUCCAAAACCAAAUCUUCCUGACCGACUGAUACGCUUUGGAUAGUGAUGGGUCAACUACUUGCAUAUAUUUUCUGAAUAUAGUCCUUAAUUAGCUUCUGCGAAAUAAGUUCCAGUAGUAUCUAUCAUAAUUAAUUUUCUUCUUUCUGCAAUUAUAGCAUGUAUGACCUUCUUUUCCAAUAGUAAACUAAAUAUUUUUAGUAAUGCUUACAGAUCUCAGUGGAUGCCAUGGUUAAGGGAGCAUACGAGAAUUGGAAUCAAGUUAUAGAAUAUGAUGGCAAAGUUCUAAACGCUUUAUCUAUUAAUAAGAAAGGAACAAAAGCCUUAACUGCAUCUACAGCUGAUCAGAACCAUAUCACCGAUCAUUAUUAUCCAACUACACAGAGGCAGCAGUACGUCUCUUCUGAACCAAUCCCACAAAACCAAAACAAAAUUAACAAUCCAACAAUCCCUCAGUUGAUUGAGUUUCCAUUUACAAGGUCUGAUUCAGUGGCUGGGGUGACUUUGAAUACUCAACAAGCGCCAUUAUUAGGCAACAUAGACUAUGGAUCAGCUGGAGUAUCAGCAGUGGGUGGCUCUUAUAUCUCAGGAGAUUGGUCAGGUGCACAGGAUGGGCAGGUGUUCGGAGACUUUUUCUCUGAAGAAAUCCGCCUGAGGAGUUCUGAGAUGUUGGAGAGUGAUGAUAUGCAGAGAUUAUUAAAAAACUUUGGUAUGGGAUCUGCUUUUAGUCAUUCUGAAGACACAUCCUACUGUUACAACGUUCCUUAUGAGCAUCAAGUGAAUCGCACUUGUGAUCAAGAACGUGGUCGGAGUUCAGGAAAGGCUGUUGUUGGAUGGCUCAAGUUGAAAGCUGCUCUGAGGUGGGGAAUAUUUAUAAGGAGGAAAGCUGCGGAGAGGAGAGCUCAACUUGUUGAGCUUGACUAAGUUAACAUUCUGCGUUAUUAUUUGCAUGAAUUUAUUUUUAUUUUUUUGAAAAGAAAAUGUUUGCGUCUCGCUGGUGAGUAGGCACAGGAAGACAUGGACUUGUUGUUCAGUUUGUGCCGAAGGCUUAGCCUUGGCUCUUGACUUAGAAGUGGGUCGUUUUGUAUAUUUAUUCAUUUUAAGCCAUUUCUCACUGCCUUGUUUAGAUGUUCAUUGUUUUUGCUGUUACUCUUGCCAGUUGGAUUUGUAUUUUGUACAUGAUUCAUAUUCUAUGUUAUUUCAAAAUUGGAACUUUUUGUAUACUACAAGAAGUACCAUGUCCGCAACUUUCAGUUAUGAAGUUGACUUUGCUUGUAUAGCCAUUGUUCAAACAUGCAGUUGCAGCCAACUCUGAUCUUAUAAUUCCGUCGUCUUUGCUAUUUUCGGCCACAACUAGUACAAAUUUAAAACAGGAAAGCAAGACAAAUGUGAUAGACGAAUUGGGGUCUUGGAUUGUAUCACUAUUUCAUUUAACAUGAUACGAUUCCAAGUCAUUUAACCACUAUAUUUAAGAAAAGAACUUCAACCACCAUGAACCACAGGUAUUGUGAUAAAAGCCUAAUACAACAGAAGUGAUACACUUCUCCUGGUUCAUGAAAACAGAAAUGCCAAAACAUCUGUGUUUUGUGGUCUGACAACGUACACGAAAGGAACAUGUUUAAGCUUGUGACGAAGACAUAGAAUAAGAGCGGAAUUGAGGAAAUAAAUUAAACUGAAACUAACAUUGUGUUUGAAACUGCGACCAUGAAUUUUUUUAAUAGAAAUUUUGAGAAACUACAAAGACUAGCAAAAAAGGAAGAAGAAAUUACAUAUUGAUACAAACUCCUGACAAAGUAAAUUAUGAUCUACAAAGCUCAGCAAGUAAAAGAGUCAUAUACAUGAUCAGAACGAGUAGGCAUCAAAUCCAAAGUCUCCCCCCAUUAGCAUUGUUCCAUCUUGCUCCUGCAUCACAUACAGGAAUUCUAUAUAUUUAAAUCUAGGAUCAUACAAAAUUGUAAGAGGAAAGGACAAUACAAAACAGGGAAUAAAUUGUAAUGUACUUUGACCAUCCAUAACAUACUAUCUGCAUGCACUUAAGGCAAAUAUUUCCAUUAUUUAUCUGAAAUUGGAUUUUGAAGAACUACAUAAUGGCAUAUACGGAAACACCCAUGGUUCUGAACUCUAGCCAGGAUGUGUAUAGCAUCAGCCUAUGCUUUCGUUUUGGUUUUAGAAAGAAAGAAAGGGCAAAAAAUGUAUUCAGCAAUCCAAUUAGAAGAAGCCCACAACUGCCUUAUCUCCCAGGCCAAAAGAAAGAAAGAAAUGAAGCAAGAAAGAAAGAGAAAAAGUAGCCCCCUUGUGCAACCCAACCACUGUGAAGUUCAAUUUGUUAUCACAAUGUUCAACAUGCAGUCAUAAUCACAUUCCUUAAUUGAUUCCCUAAUACCUUUCCAUAUGUAUUGCCAUGUUAAACAUUUCAGUCACAACUAUGUGUUUUACUUCUAUUGCUCUCUGCUUAAUGAUGAAAUGAAAACAAACUUUUAACGUAGAAUCGUAGAUCAACAUAUAUACAACUAAAAAUACCCGGAAUUUGGAAUUCUAUUCGACUUCAAGAGAAAAAACUUUUUUGAUUAUUACAGGGUUAGGGAAUCUAGUCCUUGAAUAGCCUUCUGACUAAAGGAGGACCAAAUAUCACAAGAAGUGUACAUUUCUGUUAUAAUCAUACGUUGCAAGAAUUGCCAGCUAUACCUAUAAUAAGACAAUGUAAGGGAGUAAAUAUAAGCCUUAAACUUUCCAUAUCUGCAUGCAAGGUGUAUGAUACAUUUAUAUUGAUGCAAAAGUAACAACUUUAUCAAUAAUUACUAAGCCAGACCAUACCCCAAAUCUGAUAUUAUUUCACUGGUCAUAUUUUCACGUCAUACUUUUAAGAAUAAUGCUAGAGACACAAACUAUUUUACAAACUGCUGAUGUGACAUACUCCACCUCAGCAUAUUGUGUGGGACCGAAGACUACAUUGAAACAAUUUGUUGAUCAAUACGCUGAGGUGGAGUAUGUCGUAUCAGCUGUUUGUAAAAUGUUUGUAAAAUAAUUUGUAUAUGUAGCACUACUCAACUUUUAAUUAAUCAUGAUAUUCAUAUUAUGUUCAUCAUUUGGUGCAAAGUAGAAAAAGGCAUAAAAGAACCUGAAUCAGAUAAGGUUGAAAGAUAACUUACUCGUUUCAUUACAACAUUCAUUAGAUCAUCCAAGGAAUCGUAAUUAUUAGGAGCCAAACCACCCUGUAACUUUGAUUGCUCCAAGAAAUAGCCUUCAUUAGACCUCAAUUUCAUGUUCAUGGUUGAUUUCUCAGCCACGUCGUGCUGCACAAUAGUUGAAGCACCCCCAUUUGAUCUGCCAACCAGAGAGACAUCCACCCUUCGAUUGUAGCCUCCAUUAUUUUGGUCCACACUGUGGCUCUGGCUAAAGGGCACCACACCAACAUUGCCAGGAGGCAGGGAGUUUAAGGUGCUGAAAGCAUUAUUUGAGUUGUGGGUGUAAUCCUGUUUAUGUUGCCUGAAUCUUUGAUUUGCUUGGUUCACAUUUGGAACAAUAUUACCAACCAAACCACUUUGGCAUUCUCCUCUUGAAUCUUCGAGAGGUGCAGAAAUUGUAGAAUUAGAUGGAAAAUGGAUUGGGGAGUUCUGAAUAUGGGUGCUUUGUGGAGAAUUAUUGUAUAUCAUGCUACUAGGAGGCAUUUGAGCAUUACUGAAAGGUUCACUUGGUGGCAAAGGGUUUGAUGAAAACUUUGAUAACUGAAAGGCAUUCUGCCAGUUCUCAUGACAUCUACCAUCUUCCAGGAUAUUAGAAGAACCACUGGCGCCAAUGUUAAAAGAUUCUGAGUUCAAAGAAGCCAUGUUGAUAGAGGACUGAUUGAUAAAUCCUACCCCGUUUUGUAUUUGCUGUGUUUUCCCUUGUAACAUCAAAGGAUUACUUGGACCACUGGUUAGCAAGAAGUUGCUUGAGCUACCAACUGCAACCCUGGUGUCUGUAAAGGUAUUAGCAGCAGUAAAAUUUAUGUGAUCAUCAACGGGAUUGAAGUUCCCAACAUGGGCAACACUCUUACUCUGCUGGAACUGAUCAAGCUCCAAGGACGAUGGCAUUCCUUGAAAUAAAUUUGGAUUUUGGUGUGCCGGUGAAACAAUUGACUGGAAUUUCCCAAGAGCAUUUAUAGGGUUGCUUAAGUUCUGGGAAUGGCUCGGUUGGAUCACAGCAGAAGAAGUAAGGCCACGGAGGCUCACACCAGCAGGGCUAUUCAGCCUCCCAAGCAUUCCAGAAGGUGCAUAUGAUGACAGGCCAGUGUUUGGAAGCCUUCCUGAUCCAGCCAAUGUUCGAUAAUCUCCAAGUCCAUCAAGUGUGCCGAUGCGCAAAUAAGAGGCAUCUUUAACACCUAAUGCAGCAACUAUGUUAGCUUGUUGGGAUGCAGCUGAACUGAUCCUUUUCAGGUAAAGUCGGUAUUUCUGUAAAAAGAAAAUAUCGAGAACGUAAGUUAACGUGGAGAUGACAUACAACACCAACAAAUAAAAAGAAACUCAAUAAAAUUGCGACCUUUUCAAAGGUAACUAACUUAUAUGGUUUAUGGUGAUAAAUUUAAGUCAUGCCCCAACUAUUUAAAGUCCACUAAGAUCCCAUUGGGGGCCGAGAUAGCCAUGGCUAUGGGAUGAAUAACUUCAAGAUAUAAAGCCCUUACCACUUGGCUGAGGUUCACUAUUCCCAAAACAAAACUAGAGAUUUUUGUAAGGGUGAUGUUUGGGGUCUCAAAUGAUGUGUUAUCAUAACAGUAGUUGGGUAGAUCUCAUGUGAUUGGUUAUCCCAUAAAUUAUCAUUAAAAUAUUCAAUGCCAUGUCAUUUGAGAGGCAUAAUAGACCAAAAAUUUGAGACCCCUAACAUUACUCUUUCUUUAAAGCUAAUGAUUACUUUGGAAGAUAAUGUGAGGUUGAUAUCCCUCCCCCUAAGCAUUUUGGAUAAUGAUUUUACUAAUCUCAGCAAGUCAUUUUAUUUUUCCAGCCCAUAUUGCAUCAUAAAGAAUCAAGAGAAGUAAAACCAUACUUAUAUUAAUCCAUCGCCCCAAUUCAUACAGAAGGGGUCAACACACCAUCAAUUCAACUUUCUAGGGAUGUUCUCUCCACCAAUUUAAGUUCCUUACUUUUUCAAAUUAUCUGCUUAAUGGACUACAAGAAGGAGAAACAUAUAUCUACUAGCACACUCCUAUAGUAAAAAAACAAAUCGAGAAUCAUGGUGAUAAAUUAUUGUAAUAAUUUUAGUUAGGAGUGUCGGAUGGGUUGGUCAAAUUCGAAGCCGCUUGUUACUAAGCUAAACUAUCUCAGAAUGCACGAUGAAGCACUAUUAAGGAACAAAGUUGUAAAAAGCGCACUAUAAUUAACAGAGGAAGAAGGUUAGGUUUGUGCCUGGAGAUGGCUUGCCACAUUUUCCCUUGUAAGCCCUUCAACGUUCAUCAGAUCCAGAAUCCUUUUAGGAACAGCUUCUGCAUUACAAACAGGAAUGAGUAAUCAAGAGCUCAAUCGUGAGAAAAUUCAUAUUUGAUAGUAUAAGAGAGGCUUGAUCUUUUGGCACUAAAACCUCACUUUCAAGGCCCAGUUGAUUAACAGCUGCAACAAACUUCCUGUGAAGCUCUAUAGACCAAACUACCCGAGGCUUCUUUUGUGCUGAUGGGUCGUCAUCAUCAGGGUCGUUCUCUUCACCCUCUUCUUCCUCGUCCUUUCUUUUUCUAUUGAGCUUCCCAUUCUGGUCUGUAUUACCAGUCAGUGCAGGUCCUUGCCCACCUUCACUUUCCUGCUGAUCCCUAUCAUGAGAGUUCGAUUUGUUAUGGGACUUGGAAUCAACCUUCUUCCUUCGGAUUACAUGUUGCCAUAUGUUCCUGAGUUCCUCAAUUCGAACAGGUUUUACCAGAUAGUCACAAGCCCCAUGAGUGAUCCCCUUCAUUACAAGUUUGGGAUCGCUGUUUGCCGACAACACUGAGACCAUCUCAAAGUCAGAAUAUAUUUAGUGAGAAAGAAAACAUACAAAAAAUUACCAAGAAUUAAUAUAUACUGUUCAGUAGCGUAAAGUAUAUGAAACAUAUUACAGAAAUUGUCUGUAUAUUAAGCAAAGUUAAAACUCUAAAUGCUACAAAAUUCAAAUAAACAUUAAAAAAAACUCAAGUUAUCUCAUCUUAUACAGAAACAUUGACCAAAAAUGAAUACUAAAUCAAUAAUAACAAAUCAGAAAAAGAAGAACAUCACAGAUAAGACUAUAUAUCAGAGACAACUGAAGUUCUUCUUGCUUACUGAUGACAGGUAAGUCCAUUUCAAGUCCAACCAGUUCCAGCAGCUUAAAACCAUCCAUGUCAGGCAUAUGCACAUCACUAAUGAUCAGGUCAAAUCUGUUUCUGUUUUCUCUCAACAUAUUCAACGCCGUUCUUGCCUGACUUGUGGCUGUAACUGCAAAAGCGAAAGCAGUGAUGAGAAGAAAGAGAAUACUAUUAAAAAGAUUAAGCCAAUAAGCCAGAAGUAUAAAGAAUGAAGAUUGAGUGCUCCCUUGAAACAGAAACAAGAUAGCGGAGACAGGCAAAGUCACCAACAGUAUAUAUUCCAAGAAUACAGCAAAAGUUAAAGACAAUAAAAUGACAAAAUAUGUAGAAUUAAAUUUCAAAAUCUGAUUGGCUGAGCAUAAUCUGUAGUCAAGAUCGAGUCCAUGUAUAUAACAAAAUGAAAACAAAAAACUACUGAAAAUUGAGGAAUAAAAUUUAAAUCCUUCUUAAGUAAGGAUAUUAUGAAGAUAACUAAACAGUAAACACACAUUUUCUUUAUCUUUCAGGAAUUUCUUUAAAAUACUGAAAAUUGAAGAAUAAAAUUUAAAUCUGAUUGAUUGACAAAAAUUGAUGAUAAAGUACUGACAACCAUGUAAGGAAAAAGAUCAACAGACCCUUUAGUAUAUGAUGAAGUUAUGAAACUGGCCACCAAAAUUAUCCACCGAUUAUAAGAUUUCCAAAACAUUUCAGGAAAACGCAGUAAAUAGAUGAAAUUAACCCCAAUUCAGAGUAACUACUAACUAGACAUAAAAUGAGUAAUGCUAGCAAAGAAACUGGGAAACAGAGAAGAAUCUAACCAUGAUACUGGCAUUUCCGGAGCAGACCGUCCAAUAGCUUCAAACAAGUGGGGUCAUCAUCAACAGCAAGAACUCGCAUACCCUUUGGAAAAUCAUCAAAAUCACUCCCAGAACUUGCUCUAAUUUCCUCGACAGUCAUCUUUAGAACUCAAAAACAAAUACCCAAAUGUGAAAUGAACAAAGAACAGAGAUCAAAGCAAAAGAUUGGAUUUUUAACGCUAAUUGUAGGGUUUUUUUUUUCAACUUUUCAAAGAAACCCAGGAGGCAAAUGAGAGAGAAUAACAAUGUUAUUAAAGAUUUGAGAGGGAUCAAAUACAGAGGGUUUGUAAUUGUAUAGAGACAGAUAAGGACUUGUAGUAAGUGAAGCGGUACAUAUUGACAAUGAUGGUGAUGGCCAGAACAGAGUGAAUGGCUUCGACCCAACAAUUACAACCAAUCAUAUUAGUAUUUUAGUCAUCACAACUCCUCCCUCUCUCUCUCCUUUGUCCUUUUGCUUUUUUUCCUUCUUCUUGCAGUACUGGAAGCUUUUUUUUCUCUCAAUAUAAUACUCUUUAUACCACUAACUUAUAUAUCACUCCUAUAUAAUAUUGCUGUGAAUAAUAAUAGAGAUUUUGUUAAUAGCCCUUCUGGAAGAACUUUUCCUCUCUCUCUCAUAUGGAGCUAGUCAGCCAGAGGCAUGCAAAUAAGGAAGUGGAAAACAUACGGAAUGAUAAAGGGUAACAAACUUCCACCCAUAGCUAUGUACACCACAUGGACCAAUCUAGACAGUUCGUUUGAACAAAUCUGAAUACCACAUGAUCAUAAUCCAAUGAUCCUACGGUUUAGAUCGAGGAUGAGACUGUGUGACGGUACUUGGUUAUUUGACCCAAUCCUAUUCCAUCUAUGAGAGUAGUGCAAUUGAUUAAUACAUUGUCAAUACGCAGGUGUGAGGUCUAAUUUAGUUGAUAGACGCCAAGUGUUAUUAGUAGAGUAGGUUAUGGCGAAACAAGCCCCAUGAUUAUUGUCAAAUAUCCAAACAGAAUCUGUAAUAAAUUAAGUUUUAAAUACUAAUGAUACCCACAAUUCAAUUCCUUUUUUAUGGGAAAUCUCCAACAAACAAAUCCCUUUCUUUUUUUGGAUUUCCCAAAUUAUCUCAAACCUCGUACUUUAACUUGGAGAAAAUUUUGAUGCAUCUAUAAGGACAAAGCCAAAAUUGAUCACUUGUUUAAGCGAGCGGAACCACGAAAGUAGCAUAAUUUGACUUGUGACAUUUUACUAGGUACAAAUGUAGUACAAUGUUGUUGUCUCGUGUCUUCUUAAAUGAGAAAAAUGUAACCAAAAAAGGAAGGUCAGUGCCUUGUGUUAUAUACUCCACCUAUAUGGAUUCAUUGAUUACCUUGCUAUAUUAUAACAUAUUUUUUCAUAAUAAACACAUUGAUGUGGCUUUCAGUUAAUUGACAACCAAAUUGGCCCAUUACUUUUGGUUUUUCAAAUGUAGUCAUUAAAUAAUAAAUCUUGUAUUUUUGGAAGUUUUAUAUUUAUAAUCUUUAUAUUUAAUGUUUCUAAUGGGAAUAAUAUCUUUAAUUUCCAUUAAUUUAUUCACAAAUCUUGUCUAGGUUCCAUCCGCUCAAUAAGCCAAACAUAUUACAAUCAAUCUCUAUAAUUAUGCCAACUAUCACUCUGCAUUUUAAAUUGUCCAAUAUAUUUUCAAAUUAAGUAACUCAUUGACAACACUUCCAAAUUAAACAAUUGACAUCAUAAAUUUCUUUACAUUUUCCCCCAUCACUAGUUCAUCUAAUUUGUUUAAAUUCAAAUUUAUAGUCGCACUCUCCAUAAAUAAAAAUGGCUCAACUUCAAUACCAAUCAUGUCAAAGAUAUUUAGCUUUUUUUUUAAUUUGCGGUUAUGCACGCUUAAUUUAGAAAAUUGAUAUUUUCACGUGAAUUUUUUUUCACAUGAAGGUGGGACCCACUCAAUAUUCAUGUGAGAGAGAUCGUGUGAAAAUAUAAAUUCUCUUAAUUUAGUGUAUCAUUAUUAGGCCUUUGUAAGUUGUAUAGAUUUAAGUUAGGAAUAAGUUGUGUAUAGAUUUAAGUUUGGAAUAAGUUUGAUGUAAGUUUAACUUUUGUUCAUCCUUGUUAGGCAUGUCUUUUUUAGGUUACACAUCCUAUAUUUAUAUUUUACAUAAGAAAAUAGAUGGAUAUAGACAUAUUAUAUAUCCUUGUUUGAUGAAAUUGGAUAAGGCACUGGAUUUUUUUAUUUUUUUGAAAGCCUCAUUUUUUUUAGGGAAUACUCCCUCCAUUUUAAAAUAAGAGAUACAAUUUAACUUUUAAAGUUAAAUAAUGACAUAUUAAACUUUAAAAUUAAUAUAACUCAUAACAGUUUUAGAAUGAAAUGAAUUUUGUAAUUAGUUGUUUUUGUUAUGUACUAUACAAUUAUAAUACUUGUGUUAACUAAAAUUAAAUCAAUUUAAAUUUUAAUAUGUCGUUAUUUGAUCUCAAAAGUCAAAUUAUAUCUCUUAUAUUAGAACAGAGGGAAUACAAUAUAUUUUUAUAAUCAAAUACAUCAAUACAUCACAUAAAAAGAGAAAACAAGUUUCACAUAAAAAAAAAUAAGACUUAGGAAGAAGAAAUAAACUUAGAACAAAAUAAACAUGACACAAAGAGGACACAAGUUUCACAAAAAAAAAAACAGAAGUGAUUAGCAUGAAGUUUAUUUUUGAGUAAGUUUUAAUUGACUAAUAGAGUACUGACACGCAGACAAGACUUUAUGCGUGUCAGUAUUCUAUUGGUCAAUUGAUUAACUUACCAAAAAAUAAACUCCAUGAUAACCGGAUCCAACAAAAUCAAACACUUACGUCUAAGACCUAAAUGUCAGAGUAACCGAGUCUAAACUAUUAGGCUAAAACCUUAUCGACAGAAACAGUUAUGUCUCAUAAGAUAUUUUAAUGACAUCAGCAUUUUAUUAUAAAAUUAGGGCCUUCAAAAUUUAGUCGUUCAUUACUAAAAAAUAUUAGUCAUAUCAUAUCUUCUGGAUAAAUAGUUGAAUAUUUUUUAUAUUUUAAAAUUAGAGAUAUAUUUAUAAAAUAACGACUUUUAAGAAUAAUUUUGUAUUCUCAAAUAUAACCUUAGUAUUAAUUAAUAAUUCGAUCGUGGUGGUGUAAUAUUAAAAUUGAUGGUGAAAAAAUAAUGACAAAAUAAAAUUAUAUCCGUAAUUUUAGAAUGAAUUAAAAAAAUAUAUAUCUAAUUUUAUAAUAAGGAGAGUAUUAUUUAUGCACGAAAUACAAAUUAUUGUUAUUUCGGGUAAGAAAAUGCUUAAUCCAUGUGUAUGAAGAAACUAUCCAGAUGUACCAACCAAAAAAAAAUCUAGAUAUUUAAUUUUUUUAAAAUCUAAGAUAAUUUAUGUCUAGAGUGUGGAGUAUUAUAGAGUAGCAGACGGCUUAGAAUAAGGUACAGUGGUCUCACGUUGUCAGUAUCAAAAGAAGAGUAGGACCAAAAAUUCAGACUGCCAUUGUGGUACCAGAUGCCACCACGUUUCGAAUUCUGAUUGGUUCCAAAGUACAGAUUAACGGGACCACAUUAGAUUCCCCGGAAAGAUAUACAGCUUUUUCCAUGAUAAUGACACGUUAGUCGCAGGUCAUGAGUCCACUGGCCACACAACAUAACACCUGCGUAUAAAAGCUCAUCGGCGUGUGUGUGUACAUGAUCAAUCAUCUGCGGAGUCGUAUACAUUCGGUUCGUCCCUAAAUUAAACCCAGAUGAAAAUGAUAAAUCAUUUCAAAUACUAAUAUUUGUUUAUUUUCACCUUCUAGCUUAAUAUUAAUAUUCAUUUUUAUUUGGUGAAAAAAAAGGAAUUCUAUUUUUAUAAAUAGUGGUAUAAAGUGAGGUGGGUAUUAAUUGAUAUUUCUACAUGUAUUUUUGAUAUUUUUACAUGAUACAAGUAUACAGUGAGUCUCAUAUUCAUUUGAGAAGGAAUCAUGUAAAAAUAUAAAAAAUAAAAAAUAGUAAUUAUUACUUUAAAAAAACAUAAUUAAUGUCACGCCUAUGUCAUAAAAUAGGCUAGGAGAGACCAAAUUAAAUACGUCCAUUUCUUAAUUAGCCAAAAUGGAUGAAUAAGGGUUUUGUAAUAAAACACACACACACACACACACACACACACACACAUAUAUAUAUAUAUAUACAUAUACAUAUAUAUAUAUAUAUAUAUUUUGUGAGUGGUUAACCACUAUCAAUUAUCCAAAAUUAAAGAAAUGGAAAUUUGUACAUUUAUUUAAUAUUUUUAUAUGGUCCAACUUGCCUUAAUUUUUAUAUGAAAGUCUCUUCCCAAGUCUACCAUUUUUUUGUAUCAAUUUUAUAACGUGACGAAAACUUAUGAAGUUGAUAAGAUUAAGAUAAAUGCCCAUUUUAAUUUCUAGAGUAAAUUGGUUGAGGUGAGGGUAAUUUUAAAACUUAUUUAAUUAAGCAAAACAAUGCCGCGGGAUAAUCCUUCUUAUAAAUAAAAUUAUAAAAAAUUAAUNNNNNNNNNNNNNNNNNNNNNNNNNNNNNNNNNNNNNNNNNNNNNNNNNNNNNNNNNNNNNNNNNNNNNNNNNNNNNNNNNNNNNNNNNNNNNNNNNNNNAAGUUUGCUUUCUGUACCAUGUAUUUGGCGGCUCAGAAUGGGUGUUGUAUCAGGUCUGGACACUCGGACCGGACCAAAAUUCGGACUUUUUUUUGUGUUUUUUUUAAAACAACUAAAAAUAAAUAAAUAAUAUUUUAUGGAAUUAAAAUUUUUUCAUAAUACAGUGUUUUGGGUGUGAUUUGGGUACGUAUAACAAAACAUGUAUGUACAAUCUGUGCAAACUGUACCACCAUUUUUUGGUAUAGGUAUUCAAAUCAUGCCCAAAACAUUGUAUUAUGAAAAAAUUUCAGUUUCAUAAAAUAUUAAAUAUUUUUUUUUAGUUAUUUUUUUAAAAAAAAGCAAAAAAAUAAUAAUAAUUUUUGGGUCCGUUUUUGAUCAGGUCCGGAAGUCCGGACUUGAUCCGUGUUAUAUAUAUAUAUAUUGAUUGGCUGAAUGAUCGUCCGGUUCAUCGCUAAAAAGGGUGAGUAUGGUAUUCUUGUGUUACAAAGUGCAGUCCAGAAUUGGAACAAUCACCAGAAGCUCAAAUUUGUGGUCAAUUUUAGAGAUAUAGUCGAUGGGUUUUGCCUCAAAGAUGAGUCUUUAAGAAAGUUGUAAAUGAGUUUGACCACAUGAUUGGCAAUCACUCUCCCUUCCAUUAUUGAAAAUUCCUGCUAUUGACAGACAUGAUUUUUCUCCUAUCCCAAGAUACAGAUUUGUAGUUCUUGAUGGCUAUGAUAUCAGUGCCAUUGGUUGGCCCGAGGAUCAUCCAAAACACUUAAAUAGAAGAACCCAUAUAUAUUCAGAAGAAAAAAAUAAUAUAUAUAUAGUCCAGAGGGGUUGGUGGGUCUAGAGAGAAGGUUCCUCAAGUUCAAUGGUGCAGUUGGGAUGGUUAGAUUGUGUCUUACAAGAUGCAACAAAAUUAAAUCAAAAGGUGGCCUCUGGUUCCUGGAUCUUCAUCCCAAGAAGCAUUCUUGUGGAACUAUGAUGAAGUAAUAUGGACAUGAUACACCGGUACAACUGUGUGAAUGUUUGUCUGGGUGGACAUGACAUGAUCACAGAGGAGGACACUCGAUCGACUCACACGGGGUACACCAUUGUGUUCUAGAAGCAGCCCUGGACUGCCCUCCAGGCACAUAUGUAACAGCGGAAUACUGAAAAUUAAACUGCGGACAAGAGUCAUAUUAAUCGUUAAAUAUUCGGAUGGACGAUCAAGAUUUAUUAUAAGACUAGACUAUUUUUUACAACGUUAAUUAUGAAUUGGUCCCAUAUAUAUAUAUAUAUAUAUAUAUAUAUAUAGAUUGCAUGUUUAAUUUUAUGUAUAAUAAAUGUUUAGUUUAGUUGUUGUGGUUGUACUCUUAUUAAUGGAAAAAGAAGAAGAUUAUAUUUAGAAGGCAGAAUAGGUAAAGUUGUUUUAAAUGGUGUAACAGAGUGACAGGUGAGAUAUAUAUUAAUGGCCAAAAAGCUAGUAGGCAGGUAUAUUCUAUAAUACUACUAAUAAAAAGGGAGAUGGGGAUUAAGACAGUUGAGAAUGUUGUAAUAUUAAUUAAAAUGUUGCUGCUUUGAAUAUACUAGUAUUAAUUAAUCAUGGGAAGGAGUUGGUGGAAGUCAGCUGCUUUAAUUUGUUUUAGAAAAUGAAGUUAUUGUCUGUCCUUUUUCCUAAACGUCUUUGUUGGGUGGUAAGUUAAAGAAGAAAUUGGCAAGUUUUGUUGUUGAAAAGCUCGUGGUAUAUGUCAACUCCCCGAGCUUAUGCUGCUGCUGGUGCAUCAUCACCACCCAAACCCAAUGCUAAUAGAAAAUUCCAAGUUUAUUUAUAAUCAAAUCCAUAUCCAUUUGCUGUAACAACCGACCCAUGUGCAAGAAGCCAAGAACAGAGGGAGGGAGGGAGGGAGGGAGGGAGGGGACAUAUCCUUCUCAAUCCGGGAAUAACCACCACCUUUUGGGCUAUGAAUCUGCUUGUGCUACAAAUACAAUCACAAAGGGGCUUUACAUAAAUAAAUAAGCUCACAUUAUCAUUUAUUUCCCCUUUCCCUACCUCUCUAUGCUAAAUUACACAACUCAAGGAUUCAUUCUAUCACAAGUGCCAUUCUUAUGCUUGAAACCUAUAACAGGUGGAAAAACAUGACCACAUAAAUAAAUAAAUAAAUAAAUAAAAAUCAUAACAAAUAACACAGAUAUGCCUAAAACAAACUGAAUCCUACACUGCUAGAUUUUACAGAGGAAACCACGAUAUCCAUUCCGCCAAACAAAGACUUUGCUAAUUUACAUGAAAAUCCAGAUCAAGUCUGGUGAUGAUCUAAUGUUUUUGACAAUAAUAAUACACACUGCCACAGAUAAUUGCAGGAGUUUAACUCAGCAGGAUCUCUGGAUCAAACAAGAUAUCUAUAGCUUGCAACCUGAACAAAAUAAUCGAGUCCAAUAAAGCUUGGUGGCUAGGCAUGCAAUGCAGGAAGCAAGAAGCUGUACUUUUUCAAUGAAAAUAUAUCUAGCAAGAGUCCAGCUAUUUAUGUGCAUUACUCUGAAAUCUCAAGUGGUGCGAAAGAAGGAAAAUAAAUAAAUUAUCUUUUCCCGAAUCUCAAACACUUGUUAUGCUUUGACUCUGAUAAACUCGACGUCGAAGUCAUUUGUUGCUUGCUACGCUUUGUGAAGGAGUGUUUCUCCAUUGCAUUUACAAACUUCCGCAAGUGCUUUAUGUACUCCGGAUAAGUUUCAAGGUUACAAUGUCCUCCACCCUGUACCCAUAGUGGGUCAUAUUUUUCUGAGGCAAGUUCCCAUAAUCGCUUGCCAUGGGACCAGUCAACAGUGUCAUCAUUUGUUCCCUAUGAAUGAUUUAUCGAAAAAAAAAUGUAUGCAAACCAUAAGUGCGAUCAGGUUAGAGUACACUAAACUAGAGGGAAAAUGCAAUACAAAACAAGUGGUGCUUAAAAAAAAAGUGGGAGUCGGUGUAAAAAAAAGUGGAUAAGCACAGUAAGACGUGGAAUUAGACUCCCCUUUCCUAAGAAGGUUAGUUAAAAUACUAUUAGAAAUCUUUAGGAUAUAUUUAGCAGAACUCAAGCUGUUCAUGUGUAGCUUUGUUGUUCAAGAAUCUCAUGCAAAUGCAAUAUACAGAUGAUUUGCAGGUAUGGCAUGACAUUAGAGCAAAACCAUAUUUGCUUCAAAAUCUAUAGCCUCCUAAGGAGCAUUCUGUUAAUCAGGAUACCUUCCCACAGAGAGCACUAUUACUUUUAUUUGAUGAAAAGAUCCUUGAAGAACUACAGAAUAACCACCACAACCAAUAUAUAAAAGUUCACAAAUUACAGUAUCAUCACUACAGAAUCAUUGCUUAGGAGUUCGGAGUCCUAAUUUUUUUUAACUUGCAUUAACAGAAACAAGGAAUUGCUUAAAUUAUUGUAUUUGGGGGAGGGAGGGGGGGGGGGGACAAAAAACUUCUCUGCAUUUUGCCUAGGAGCUUCCAAUAGCAUAUGCAUUUUUUAUGGCCCUAUUUUAGACAAUGGAUGAACGACCAUCGCAUUAAUUAACCUCCAGAUAUUACAAUUCCUCUCUCUCAUCAUGAUGGUAACUAAGGUAUAAUGAAUAAUUCCCAAAUUAACUGAUCUUGAGAAUUUCCUAAUUCUCUCAAAAAAACAAGUCUUUUUGGACAUCAUCAGCAUUUCAAGUUUUUUAAAGGUUUUGAAUACCAAUAAAGAAAAUUUCAACAAAUUGAUAAACACCCAUCACCAGUUGAAUGAAUAAAUAAAUAUAAAACAGCCAAAAGAUAAGUUCUAUUACCUCGGGCAUGCCAGUUUUAAAACAUCUAUGUUUGUAUGUUUUUACCUCUAGCAUGCCUGUUGUAAACUUGUAAUUGACAACAAAAUGGAUGUUGUAAAUCUGUAUUAAGUUCAAUCAAAGCUUACCCUAGUUCAUGCUCAUCUAAACUUGAUAUGAUAAAUAUCCCCACCAGUAAAGUGUUGCUAGCAUACUUUGCUGAGACCAUUUUCUUAAAUUGAGGCAUUGACAGCAUGUAUUAUCUAUACCAAUAAUAGAUUGCAAUCUUAUAUACUAAAUUUCUUGUAGUACUUAAGAGAACAUCAAAUUAUUAUUUUGACCAUCUAGAAUCAAUCUUAUGUUUGUUAAUAGUCCAAACCUCUGAACUUGUCUCAGCGCAAGUUUUUUCCUUAGCCACGAGUCUACAUUUGGUUUCCAGACUGGUACUUGUUAUGCACAUCAGAUUGGACAACCAGGUUUACUAAAGCUAAAACUGCCACUACUGGAUACAACUAUAUAUUUUAUCAUCUGAAAUCCUCCCUCGUAUGAGAUCCUGUUCACAUGUGGAGUGGCAGGCGAAAAACACAAAGCACCAAAGUUCAGAAAAAUAAAUAAACUGGGGACCAAAAGCAGAUGGCAAGGCUUGCUGACAGCCAGACAUAUUAAAAUCAAUGGACCAAUGCAAAUAACCAAUUGCAUCAAACUAUUAGAACGUUAGAGGAUUGGUCCAACAAUAGCAUGAACUUCUUUGAGAAAGCCUUAUAUCAGGUACAAUGCAAAACUUUAUAAUAUAGUUUAAAAUAUGGUUAGCAAUAUUGCUAUUACUGAUAUAUUAUCAUAUGUUUGUAAAGGGUUGGAAUAAGUUUUAGCAAUAACAACUCUCAGAAUAUCAGACUUUUGGAGUCGCUCAGAAUUUCAGACUUGGUCAGUGUGAUAUGGGAAGUGAUUAUUGCUGUAAAACACAAAAUGCAAAACUAACUCAUGUUGUUAUAUGAUUAUGUUGGUCCCUUGGGGAAAGACCAACAUAUUUUGUUAUAUGAUUAUGUUGUUAGAAGCAUGAUACUGGUAUGAGAGCAGUUUCACACUCUUUAAGAGAUACUAUGCGUGGUUAGUAAGGCCCAUAGUCAUGAUAAUUUUUCUUACAGAGCAGAGGGGGCUUCAUGAGGACCCACAUGUUGUUAUCUCCCAAUAAAAUUAGGUACAGUUAUGACUAUGGCCUAUCUUUGAGGCCUCUAAAUAGAACUUUGAGUUGCAAGAUUUAUUGUUUUAAGUUUCAACCUUAGUUUCAAGGGACCAAACUCCAAUUGAUGCUCCUCUUUUUUCAUUUCUUCUAUUUUUCCUUUUCUUUUUCAUAAUAAAUUUCUCCAGAUCUGAUAAAAAGAACCUCAUUGAAGAGGUUUUCAGUGAGUAGAUGCCGAAAUGGAGUACAACAACUCCUCAUUCUAUGAUGAUUAAAUAAGAAAUGGAGAAAGCUCUCAGGCCACAAACAAUUGGUGUGGUACAGGGUUAUGUGAAGUGUUACUAGAUAAAUCACCUUAAUCAAUGUGAUAUAUAUAUAUUUUUUUUNNNNNNNNNNNNNNNNNNNNNNNNNNNNNNNNNNNNNNNNNNNNNNNNNNNNNNNNNNNNNNNNNNNNNNNNNNNNNNNNNNNNNNNNNNNNNNNNNNNNCAGAGUGAAUGAAUGAAAGAGAGGGCAUAUCUCACAUGUAUUACGAGAACUGGACAGCUAACAUUUCUUAUUUUGUCGAUAUUCUGCAAAUAUUGAAAGGAGCCUUCUCAAUACAACACCAUGUAUAUAGAACAUGGAAUAAAGGGGUCAUAAUAAGAACAAUGUCAAACUUACUUUAAAUAUGUCAAACCAGAAUGUCAACUUGACAUUGUACAGAACACGUAUUCCUGAAAGGAUAGCGCUAUGUAGAACAACACCUCUCAACCUCUGCAAACGAGAAGCCAAGUGUAGUGUGGGCCCACUCCCAACAGAUUGACCAUACAAAAUGACAUCCUCUUGCUUGAUACCAUAUUCACUCUUCAAACAAUUGUACACAGCUUCUAUGUCAUAGUAUGUGUUUAACUCAGAUGGCUAAAAAAAUUUAAGCUUUAUAAGCUUCAAUAUCAUAGUGAAAAUCAUAAACUUGAAUAAUAUAAUCAUUAUAAUUUUCCUUACCUUACCAGAGGAUGCUCCAUAUCCUGAAUAAUCAUAGCUGCAAAAGAGCGAAAUAGAUUAUGUAAGUUACAAAGACAAGGUGGUUACUUGCUAGCUAUAAGUUCAACAAAUCUUCAUCUCAAAGAGUCUGUGUAUUGUUAAAAUCAUGUCAGUUCCAAAUAAUUGAACGACUUACCCGCUUAAAAGAUAAAAACAUAGAAAAGUAGAGGGAUCUUCAUAAAGACGUCUCUAAAUUUCCAAAAUUACUAUGAACAAACAACCAAAGCGAUACACCCACACAGAUAUAUAAUUCCACAAUGGGAACAUACUAGAAAAUGGCCAUUAGAUCAGUUAAACAGAUGUAUACAACAAGAAGUCCAGAUGACAGAACAACAUGAACAAAUGAACAACUUAAUAAGUAAUAAAUUACCAACUUCUCAAAAGAAAAAAAGUAAAAAUUACAAAAUGCUUGUAAUUAAUUACAAACAACCGAAAACCUCAAAUACAAACCUUAAAAAAAUCAGCCAGCCAGCCAAACAAACAAAUACCAUCUCAAUAUGAUAAUAAAACAAAACCCCCCAUCAGAAUCAGAUAAAAUUGACACUAACAACCACAAACCAACCCCAAACUCAACAUAUCAUCAAAGCAAAAUUAACCCAUUAACACCUGGUUUCUAAAAUAAAACACAGACAUACAUGGGAAAAAAACAUGUAAUGCAAACAGAAACACCCAUUUCCAUUAAUAACAAAAGAACCCUUUCAAAAAUUCCAUAUUAUCUGAUAAAAAGUAUAUAAAAAUACCUCAUAAUAUUGACUCGGAGGUGAGCUCUGAGCUCAAUAAAGAGCUCCUGCAUUUGACCCAAGUCAGCAGCGUUGCCAUGAGAGUACAGAAGGGUGAACCUUCCAACAGGGUGCUUCCAAAAGGUAGCUACAACCUUGUUGCCCCCCUUUGUGUCAAGCAAAUGAACGUCGACGUUUUUGUCAGCGGUGAGGGCAGUGAACGAAAGCUUCCCGGUUUCAUCGUCUCUGUGAACAUCAUAUGUUGGUGGGUCUGGAGGAAAAAAAGCGAAUUUUGCAGCAACAUUUGAUGUUACAUUGCCCAUUACACAAACCCACCAAACAAAAUUCAAUUGGACAAAUUUAAUGAGGUUUUAGGCCAUGAAAGAACAUUGGGCAUGAGAUUUUCUCGGGGUUUCUGAUUCUGGGUUAUGUUUCCCGAGAGAAAUAAAUUGUGGGAUACAAAAGAGAAUACUUUAAUUAAUUAAUACUACUUAAUAUAAUUAUCCAGUUUGUUUAGUUUUGGGGGUGGUUUGGUGAUUAGGAAAAGCGAGAGGCAAUUGGCGUCAGGUGGAAGGGAGCAGAUCCGAUCUAGGCGGAGUGAGCUGAACAAAGCCCCAGAAGAAUUAAAACGACAAACAAUUAUGUAUGUACCCACCUACUAUAUUGGAGUAAUAUAGUAACUCCAUUCCUACACGAGUCACGAGGACAUCAUUAUCUUUGAAAAGUCAACUUUACCCCUAAUUUAUGAAUAUAAAAACAUUUGCAGUUUGGGAAAUAUAAAUGAAAAAUAGUGUGACAAAUAUUCAUAAAAAUAUAUUGUUAAAAUUUUAAGUAAUGAGCUUUUUUGUUAUGAAAUUUAUGAUAGAGAAAUCGUAUUUAUAUAAUAAUUGUAUUAAAAUUCACCCUACAUUUCAACUUCAAUCAAGACUUAACUAUGUAUAGCAAGUAAUUUUGAAUUAAAAUAGUAUAUAUUACAUUACACCAACAUGUGUAUAUUUAUAAAAAUUGUCAAAAAUAACCCAAUAUUUAUUUUUUGAUUAAAAAGAAAAGCCUAUCAAAAUGAUGAAAAGGGUAGUUUUGAGUCUUUUUUGAAUGCUACAGCAGUUUCAUAAAAAUUAAAAAAAAAUGUGGAAGAAACAAGAGACAUACAGAUACUACGGGCAGCAUAACAAGUGGAAAAAACGAGGAUUCUUUUUUAUAAAACCGAUGUAUAGGUAAGUAGGUGGCAACAAUUGUAAAAGCAAAAGAGAGGNNNNNNNNNNNNNNNNNNNNNNNNNNNNNNNNNNNNNNNNNNNNNNNNNNNNNNNNNNNNNNNNNNNNNNNNNNNNNNNNNNNNNNNNNNNNNNNNNNNNAAAACCGAUGUAUAUGUAGGUAGGUGGCAACAAUUGUAGUAGUAAAAGCAAAAGAGAGGAGGGAGAGGGUGAUGGACGGCUAAGAUUCGGUCAAAGGCUGCUGUGGAUCUAAACCAGUAGAAGAAGGAAGAAGAGAAAGAGAGAAUUUUUGCAGAUUUGAGGAAUCAGAAAGAGAGACAUUGUCAGAAGUCAGACAUUCCUUAUCUGCCUUUGCUCCGUCAAUGCUUUACAAAAGGUUGACCCAUUUUGGAGCUUGUGUGUGUUUAGGAAUUCGUUAUAAUAAAAUUAAUUUUGAUCGAUUGAUCAAUAUAUUAUACAAAUUAUAAAUAUAUAGACGUAAAAUUAUAAAUAUGUAAACGUAAAAUAAUUUAUUUGCAUGUCAGCACUGUAUUUAUCACAUCAUCAACUUAUCAUGAUAUCCGGAUCCUUGUGCUUACAUUCCAUUUCCCUAUUGCCAAUACUCAAAUUUUUAACCUUUUAUUUUGUUAAUUAAAUUUUACCAAACAACCAAUUAUUUUUAAGUUUAUAACAAUUAGUUACUUACAUGGAUAAAUAUUAAUGAUAAUAUUUUAAAAGAGAUACUACCAUACAUAUAUAUAUAUAUAUAUAUAUGUGGGAUGUGGGUCAUCCUAUAAUUCUAUCUAACCUAAUAUAUUGAUGUUAUAAUUUUAAUAUAAAUUUUUUUCAUUAAAUAUCAUGAGUAUUGUUAAGUAUUGUAUAGUAAACAAUGUUGUUGGAGUUGAGUACUACUACUACAUUUGCUUAUAACUUGUUUUGGUAGACAAAACAAGCUACUGAUCACAAUGUGCUCUUGGCUUAUUUAAUUUAGCUUCUGUUUGGUUUUGGUAGCGUCGUGAGUCCAACAAGUAUAUUACUCCAAUUAAGAAUCUUUCAUCACUGACUCGCACUGCUUUAAAUAUGUAAAUGUCAUAAGAAGAGCCAAAAGUUGUGGGACAAGUCGUAAUUAUUGGCACUUUAAUUUUAAUUUUCCAGAGGGCUUUAGUUUUAAAAGCAAGCAAUUAGACUGGGUCAAAAAGCCAAUGGAAUGCUUUAGGAGCUGGUGCACUAAUUAAAAGCAAAGUUUUUGAAGACGAUUAAAGAUCAAAAGACAAGCUUUUAAUAAUACUAAUAUUCACACACACACCCCCACCCCAAAGCUCAGUUCAAAGCAGCAAGUCUUAAAUUCGAACCUUUUAAUUUAACUUGUUUUAAUCAUUUGUAUAGGAGUAGUAUUUUUUAUUAUUUUUUUUUGACGAAAUCUAGGUAAUGGGUCAUCACUUUCAUGCUAAGUCCACCUUUUUAUAGCACAUAUAAUACACUUAGCAUCCUAUGGGAUCCCAUGGAAAGAGAGUUCAAACCCAACUUUAUCUAGCAAUUAAAAACAAUAAAAACCGGACAAUUAAUAUUUUCUCAAGUAAAUUUGAUAAUUUUAUAAAAUUCUCUCACAUAAAAUACACUCUAUUUAUUAUUUAAGUAAAAAUUUAUAAAACUAUCAAAUUUAUUUGUGAAAAUAUCAAUUUUCUAAAAACCAGUGACAAUAGCAUUUGUAGGAGAUGUGGAACUUGGCUUUGGUUCCUUUAGGGGUGGCUAAGAAGAAAAAAAGUUGCUCUCCCUUCCAAAAUAAUUAUUCUAAUUUCUAUUUUGGUAUGUUUCCGAAUAAACAUACUAUUUCCUUUUCAAUCAAUAAUCACUUUAAUGUCAUCGGAUGUUGAUAAUGUCAUAACAAUAAUUUUGAUAAAUAUACAUUUAGCGACACUUUUAUAUUAUUGCUCUAACAACUAAAUUAUUGCUACGAUAUUAUCAAUAAUCAACAGAUGUGGAUUCAUGUUAAAGUCAAAAUAAGUACUACUCAUGCUUCAAAGCCAGCAUCGAUUUUAAGUUUUAACGAACAUAAAAGGUCUCAAAACUAAUCCGUACCAGGUAAAAUACAUAAAUACAGCAAAAAAGUAUGGAGUAUUUUAAUUACAUAGAAUAGGGUUAAUAUCACAUGCAUAUGUUCCCUUCAAUAUACAUGACUGGGAAACAACACACUAGGUCUUCUAGACAAUUAACUACUACAUAGUAAGCUCGGAGACGCAAGGCCCACUACUGAAAAUUAUAUGCUCCUCCUCUAAUGUGGUUUUGUCUCCCAUGACCGAUACCCAAGUUUCUGCAAUCUUCUCCAAUCUUCCCUCUAAAAUCUCUACUAAAGUGAAGGCUCUUAUUGUGCCUUCUGGCUUUGGAGUUAAAAGAGGGUUUUUGCUAUCAGUUCUAUGUUCAUCAGCCAAUCUUUUGACCCUAGGAACAAUAGCCCCGUUCAAGUAUACGCUACUGUCAUCCCCAACCACAAUCAUUUUCCGAAGACCAUUUCCAUUCGCCAGCUGUUUAUGCAUGUGGCCAAACACAACAAGAGGUACAGAGAGUUUGGUGGUCUCUUUUAACUGAGAAAUGGCAUGUUCUAAAUCUGUACCAUAAAGUGCUUUUUGUGAGCCAUCAUUAUUAAGGUAUAAUUCCAUAUCAGAGUUUAACAAUAAUAAAUAGAAUGAAGCCAAAAUCAUAACACUAUUAAGUAUUCAUGUUUUUAAUCACAACAUGCCACCAAAACAUGUCAACAAUCCUUCCAAGGGUUAAACAGUCAGCAAACGACUGGUAAUAGUCUAAGUUAGUAAAAGCAAAGACUUAAAACCUCAAAGUUGUUACCUGGGUCGCCAUGGUCACCCCCUCCAUAUACCCAAUCUCUUCCACAAAUGUCAUUAAUGUUGGAACCUAGACCUGCAAAUAUUCCCACAAAGGUUAUCAUGCAGCAACUUUAGGUAUUGAAAUCCAAAUAUCACAUUGAUUUCUUCAGAGAGAUACCUGUGGGUCCAUUAUGAGCAAGGAAUAUAAUAGAGUGAUCCUCUGGUAUCCCUAAAGCAGCUUUAUAUAUUCUUUUCGCACUUUCUUCCAUGUUAUUGACUCCAAAUCUACAAGGUCAUAACUAAAGUAAGUUGUAAUAUAAGUAAAAGAAGCACAUAUUCUUGUCAAAGAAUCAUCAAUACUAUUUCGUAAUAUAUUGAUUAUACAUAUCACUCUAUUUCGUAUUACAUUUAUCAUAUCACUCUAUUUAGUAUACAUUUAUCGUGUCUGGUAGUCUGUUAAGGUUUUGCCAAAUAAAAUCCUUAUAAUGACUUAAUAAAUAGAUGAGGUCAUACUAUUACAGAGUGGUCAUAUUUAUUAAAGUGUAAACUGACGGGACAAGGAAGUCCAAACAAGAAACAAACUGCCUUUUUUGGGUUCUUGGGAACCAGAUCCUAGUAAUUAUAUUCCUUGAAAGUUGCAAAGGAAAGAGCAUAUUCUCUUUCAGAAAUCGAAACAUUCCAAACAUGAUAAGGCACAUGAGGUGAAACAAAAUUAAUAUUCACUCUAAACAGAAACCCAUAGGUAAUCUACUAACCUCGCAGACAGAAGCUUGUGCCGAAAUAACUUCCGACCACCACAAGAAAAUGGCCGUCCCCCAACAAUACUCAGCUUUAACGCAGGAAAGUCCAAACGGCGGUAGCCAACAUGCUCCUCACCAAUACUGAUCAUAACAAAAGGCAUUCACUUAUCUACCACAAGUUUUAUAUAUUACAAAAAUUCAAGCAUAACGUGUACAUGCCAAAAGAGGAUAGAACUUGAGCAAUUCUUUAUCCCCAACAAGCAAUAUUCAUGCAUAACUGGACUCUGACAGUCGAACUUGGUUUUCACUCUUGUUUCAUGACAUGGUUAGAUCUUGUAACUUUCCCCAUGUUGAUAUCCUAGUUAGCCUUGCACCAUGAUUAUGAGAGUAUCAUUUUCAAUCAGGCUAUAUGGCUUGCUUAAAUGAACCAUUUUUAAUGCUUUUGGUCACAUCAGUUUACCUUUUAGGCUUGUAAUUUAUAUGACCACCUUAAAGAAGAAUUUAAGUCGGUGAAGAACAUCUCGAGCGGCUCAAGAAAGGCCAUGCUGAGGGGGUCCCAUGUUGAUAGCCUAGAAGUACUCAAUGGAAUCAAUUUGGAAUUGAGUGGAUCAAUCAGGGUAGGACGACCUUUGGGGGGAGGGGGAGACCACAGACCCAGUUAAGAAUUUCAGAAAUUUCCCCAGUACAAUCAGUAGGACUGUAACUAUUGUCAUAUAAGAUCAAGGGGCUUGAAGACUAGCUCAAGACUAUUAGUAAGGGCAUAGUCAAAUUUUCAGACUUAUCAUCCUUUUCUCUUUAGUGGGUUUUGGUGGCAACAUAAGUGAAACUGAAUGAGUACACAACAAAAAAAAGAAAAGAAAAGAAAAUAAAUGCAAAAUAAUAACAGCGUCAAGAAUUUCAGAAAUUUCCCAAUUACAAUCAGCAGGACUGUAAUUAUUGUCAUAUAAGAUCAAGGGGGUUGAAGACUAGCUCAAGGCUAUUAGUAAGGGCAUAGUCAAAUUUUCAGAUUUAUCAUCCUUUUCUCUUUAGUGGGUUUUGGUGGCAACAUAAGUGAAACUGAAUGUGUACACAACAAAAAAAAAAGAAGAAAAGAAAAGCAAAAUAAUAACAGCAAAAGAUAAUCCAAGUCUACAUUAAAAUAUCUUGUAUAUAGAUGUUGGAGAUUAAAAGCUCACCAAUCCAGCUGAAGUUGGACAGAAUCCUUCUUCCUAAAAUUUAAAUAAAUGCCACAGUUAGAAUAAAAAUGGAUUAGAAGUUACCUUAUGUGUUUUAAUUACAAGCUCAAAAGGAUACCAGCUUUAUCAAUCAAAAGUAAACCACAGAGACACAUGCACACAAGGAGAUAGACAGAGAGAAGAGAUUAUAUAGUCUACAACUAUUGCAUUCAUGAUAGGUGUGCAAAAUAAAGGGAACAAAUAUAAAGGCAUGGAUCAUGAAACCGUUGCUCUAGUUUGCAGAUAAAACUACCAUAUAGUUAAAUAUUAUUGUUAAUGAAAAUGUUUGAAUAACGAAAUACAUUAUAUAUUUUAGAAAAGGCAAAGAUGAAAACUGCAGAAAAAAGUACUCAAGUCACAGUAUUUUCUAAAUGAUACUGUCUAAAACCACCUUAGAUACCAGUAAUUUCAAAAUUAAAAGAUCUAUAUCGUAGAUCCUGAGAUUUGUACCACCUUUUCUUGGUAAAACUAAGUUCCAUAUUUCAAAACUUGCCAUAGCAUUUAAAAUAAACAAUAUGCAUAGAAGGAUACUUAACUUUCUUCUUUACACUAUUCAUUUACUAAGAGUGCUGCAAUUGACCUCAUUUUAUUUUCCUAAGCAGAAGUUCAAGAGGGAGAGGGGAAAUAAAAAAAAUAUGCAUAUCUCUGGUUGAGGCUUGUUAGCAUAAGCAAGCCAUCCUUCAAUAGGUACGGUAAAAUGGAAAAGCAAUCUAAUAGUGGUAGCAAAAGCAUGUGACAAAGAUAUGCUAUAAUACUAGCACCCUUUUCUCUAAUUGAGUUGGCUGUAGGAAUAAAUCUAUGAUAGAUUUAUUAGGCUUUCAAGAAUAAGAUUGAGAUUCACGUGACAACGAUAUACACAGUAUCUUUCAAAGUAAACAAGUAAUAUAAACUCCAUAAAUUAGGUGUAACAAAUCAAACUAUACAUCAAAACAUUGAAUAAAAAGGUUGCUUGAGAAGAUUAGAUUUGAAUCAAAGCACAACUAGAUAGAGUUUUAAACAUCUUUAAUUAAAAAAUAUUCUACAGAAAAACUGAUAAAAUUUAUAAUCAUCGAGUGCUAAACUGAUACUCCCUACGUCCCAAAAGAAUGACUAAAGGUACAAAUAUUUUUGUCCCCAAAAGAAUGAGAUAAAGUACAUAAAGUGAGCGGUAACUAAGUUAUUUAGUGGGUCUCAUUAGUAUAAAAAUAAAAGUACUCAUCACUUUAUAUAAUCUUGUGGGGCCACUAACGAUAAAUUUGGAAAUUUUUUACUCUCUUUCCUCUACUUUUAUUUUUCUUAAUAUGUGUGCAAAUUGUACUUUGCUCAUCCUUUUGGGGACGGAGAGAGUAGAAUUUAUAAACAGAAUCAAUAAAGAACAACAACAAUCAGAAGAUGAAGCUAAGCAAAAAAUUAUCAUCCACUGUUAGACAUGUUUUCUAGCAGAGGGAUCAUCAAAGAUAAGAAACCUGACUGCAGAUAACUUCCAAGGACAUAAGAACUUCAAUGUUGAAUACAGCCACAAUAAAAUGGCAAGAGUUAUUUAAGCAUAGAACAAAAACAUAAUGAUAUAGACGAAAGCCAAAGUCAAAUUAAGAUCUACCUUGUCUGACAACAAUAACACACUCAAAGGCGAUUGCCUUUCAAAUGAUAUCAUGUAUUUAUUUUAGUAAAUCACAACAUAGUGCAACUCCCAAACUUAUUAGCAGAAUGAAUUCCACAGCCUUACACAACUAAAUUACCUGCCAGAAAAUUCUCGAGUACUCCAAGCAUCAUGGUUCCCCAAUAUAAUUGCUUUAGCAAUUGUAAGAUCAGCUACACUUCUAACAAGUUCAACAUUCUCGUUACCAAAAUCACCUGGAGAAAACCACAAAAGAAAAAGCAAAAUUAAGGGAUGAACAAAAAAGCAAAGGUUGAGAAGCUCAAAUAUCUAAGCACUAGUAAUACAAAUGUAUGGCAGGAAGAUGGAUAACUGAAAACAAGGUUGCCAACUACAUCAAGAAGAUAAAGAGAAUGAAGACAAAGGACCUGCCUGUAAAUAGCACCAAAUCCGGCUGCAUUUCCAUAUAAACUGAUAUUAGAUAUGUUUAUAAACUAAAGGGAAAUAUCGGAGCAAUAUGGCAAAAAAUACCCUAAUUAAACUAAGACUUCUCUAGAAAAUCGAUGGAAAUUUGACUAUAUACAGAAGUAAUUAGUUGACAAGGUAGAUGCAUACAUUUCAAAACACCACCAAGACAAAAGGCAAAAUUCAAGCAAAGCAACUACAAUAGAAAAUGGGAAGUGAUAUUUUCACAUGAUCCCUCUCGUAUGUAUGGACAAAGACUCAUGUAGAAAUAUCAUUUUAAGCGGAAAUAUCAGUUUCCUAGAAAAUUAGUCUGGCAAACUAUUAUUGCUUUUAUCUUUCCAUUCUUGUUGUAUGCUUUUUUAUAUAAACAGCGAGCCUAAGGCAUAGGCAAUCACUGAAUCUUCAAGUUAGGGGAAAAAAAGUGUGCAGCUGUAGAGACUGAUACAAGCUUAUACAUAUCUAAUGUGAAAAUCAAGAAGCAAUCUACCACAUGCUGCUAAACAAAUGACUAACCAACACCGGAAGGGUUUACCCAAGCUAAUGAGCUAAGGAUCUAUUCUGCAUAUUAAAUUUUGUUUUUGAGCAUGCUUACAGAUUUAUUUCUCCUUACUUGUUAAAAGAAAUUUAUAAAAAAAAAGGAAAAAAAAUACAUAGCUAACAUUGAGAAUGUAAUACCUGCAAUAAUUGAAGAGCCUUUGUAUCUUCUUGAAGAUUCCAAUCAUCAUGCUACAAAAAAAAAUCCAAUAACAAUUUGAACAAAAAAAAAGAGUAAAAAAUAAAAUAAAAUUUAGAAGAGAAUUAUUGAGUAGAGAGAGUUAAACAAAGAGCUAGUGUUUAUCUGAUGUAUAAUCAAAUAGGCAAAGAUUGAGCGGAACAAUUCCGGUGGAAGAAGUGUAAAUACAACUUGGAUUUAGUUUAGUUUCUAAAAGGAGAAAUUAAAGAGAGCUCACGACGUCUCCGACGACAGCGAUUCGAACGGAGGUGGCCAUGGAGAAUCGAUUCCUGUUGUUGUUCAGCUUUGACGAUGAAAGAGAGAGACCGGAACUGAAUAAUACACAACAGUGAGCCUGCGCGUGAAACAACGUGCUGCAGGUCAACAUAGACUUAUUCCACGCGCUUGUGCCCUAUUUUUUGGUCUUAGGAUGAUGAGUGAUAAGACUACUGAAAAUAGUACAUACUCGGAGGCUCGUACGCUACCAUUCAAUAUUUGAAAGUCCUUUUCUUUUUCUUUUUUCUGUACAUAUUUGAAAGUUAAAAUAUUGAUAAAUAACUCAUAGUUUAUUUGGGCUCAACAUCUAACUUAUUUUAAAUAAAUUAAAACAAACACGCCUAAAUAAAUUUUAAGAAUUUAUAAAUAGAUCAUAAAAUUUCAAAAUGGAACUCUUUUUCUAAAAUGAGAAUUUUGGUUGAUAUUGACAAUACUAAAUAGGACAAUUGACAAUGAUAUUCAUUGCAAGUAUAUAAUAAAACAAAAUAGUAAUGAUACAAAGUGCUAAUAUAUAAAACAAAAAUGUUAAUCAUGUCUCACAUAAAUAUUCCUUCUUUUCUUAAUAUAAGUCAUUUUAAAUUAAAAAAAAUUGAAAAUAAAAAUUUUAAAUAAACAUUAAUUACUUAGUUUUCAAUGUUAUCCAAGUAUUAUAUACAACUUUGAUUCCGUCACUAUAUCUGUUCUCUCUUUUUUCAAUAUAAUGACAAUAUAGAUAAUUGAUAUUAUAUUUAUCACAAUUUUAAAAUAAUUUAUACUCCAUUAAAGGUAGCAAUUAUCAAAGCAACAAAGGGUAAUGUUAGUUAAACCAUCCGGGCUACAAAGAAAAUUAAGAUGCAGGAGAAAUUAAGGGAGUAGUAUUUUUAUAUCUAUGCAUGCAUGGUCUAUUAAUAUGUAGAAAUAUCAAAAAUACACGUCAAAAUAUCAGUUACAAAAAAAAUAAGGCCUAAUUUUCAAGUAUGUGGAAUCUAAUAAACCAAAUUAAAAUGGAUCAAUCUGUCUCAGUUAAUUUCAAGCUGAGGGACAAAUAAUGUUCAUGGACUGGAGUUCCUGGAAUAAAAGCUUGCAUGCAUACGGCAUCAUCAUGUUUUCAACAUUUUUCCCAACCUUACACGUAGAACAUAUGGUAAUGCCAAUUUUCAGCUUGUAGUGAUCAUAUUAUCCCAGCAACCCGCAUUUACUGCAAACCCGAACCUCAAAAAGGAUCACCUGCAAUCAAACACUCGCACUCCAUUUCUCCCACCCGCAGUACUCCAUUUAAAGCCCUCCCUGCAGUAGGUUGGUUAGUGAGCUGCACCCGACGGCCAUGGCCUCGAGGAUGCAUUUUAUCUACCACCAUGUACUUCAACUUCUGGUAAUAAAUUGGUCCCAUGAAAAUAUAUUCCCGUAGUGGCCUACCAGCAAUGCCUGAAUAAAGGAAGUCCUUGCCAUUGUAACUAAACCCAUGCUUCACAAGGGUUUCACUUACGGUCAGCAUGGCCACUUGAUUCCCCAAAAGCACUGCCAUAAUGAAAACUACCGCUUGAAACACCAGCUUUACUCCCAAGAAGCUCUAUCAUUUUCCCAACAGUCAUCCGACUGGGGAAACCGUGAGGGUUCAUGAUCAAAUAAGGGCAAAUGCCACUUUCCGAGAAAGGAAAAUCUUCCUGUUACAAACACCUUUUUGGCCAUGCCUGCUGCUAAAUUUGCGACGAGUUUGGCGAAUCAUGAGUUUGACACGUAAGUUGUUUUCGUCACCAGAGAAAAGAGUUACUUUAUCCACAAUACCCGUCUCCUCUAGAGCAUUGUGUGUUUGUCUACGAGGCAUAUAUGCAAUGUCUCCCACUUGCCUAGAUAAAUGUAAUCUUGUAACUAUCGGAGACUCCUUAAUUACAUAUAUAUAUAUAUAUAUAUAUAUAUAUAUAUAUAUAUAUAUUUCAUCUGGCCUAAUUAUUUCUCUUGGAGAAGCAAUCCCAUCAUCAUCCAAAAUCUGCAUAUUCACCUUUUCUCUGGGGUACAACUUGUCUAUCUGAUACACUAUCCUUUGUGUAUGAUAUUUUAAUCUCUCGUCUCUGACAGACAACAGACAAUCUUUUCAUUACAAUACAACCGCCAACGAUCUAGAGAUGCUUUGAUCAGAACUAUUGCAUCCUCAAUGUCAUAGCCACUAUAACUCAUAACUGCAACAGUUGCAUUCUGCCCUGCUCCAAGUUUAUCGUAUCCUAUCAAUUCAAUUGUUCUAGUUAGUUGUCAAUAAUGGCUGCUGUAGGUACACUAAAAGAUAGAUUAAUGAAUCCAUCUGACAUAAUUGGUUAUAUGAGAUAUUAUCCAUAGCUUGCUUCCCCAUCGCACACUGAUAGGUAUUUAUGGGUGACUGAUUGUGAUGAGGAAAAGGAAUUAAGCCUGCACAAACGCCUAAGAUGGUGAAAGGCUCAAUCUCCAUAUGAGUUCUCUAUUUUCCCCUUGGCUGUAGCCUUUGUUGUAGUGUCAUCUCCUUCAUAUAAUGCAAUCAAAGCGUUGUUCUCCUGGUUAACAUCAAGAUACUCUAUCAACCCCUCGCGUAUAAAACUGUUAAAAGUGCGAAAUCCAUCCUUCAACUCCUUCAUAUGGUGUUCCUUGAUCCUUGAUACACCCCUAUCAGCAAUUACAAGUGGAUGUCGGCCACCAUCUGAAGAAAUAUAAACACAACGAUAUUUCUCGUUUACAAAAAUGCACAAACUCAUCAAUCUUUCCUGAUCUCCGGAGCUUCCUCAUUGCAUUGGCAAAAUCGCGUGGCCUCCUAUGCUUGCCAAGAAUCGACCAAUUCAAUAUAAUCAGAAACGCAUUUGGCAUAUGAAGCUCUUCUCCAGAGAGAAGCUCCAAGGGUAAAUUAAGCAUUCCCACUGGCUAGGCUGCAACGCUCCAGGCCCGCUAACUUUCCUCAACUUUUCAAAUUGUGGGAAAAUCUUUGUCAUGAUACUCAAGGAUGCUAUAAAGGAUUGUCUAUUGACAACCGCCGUGAUGCCUCUCCGGUGCAUCCUAAACGUGUUGAGAUUCUAGUUGUCGGUAGAAAGGCUCCACUCUAAGCCAGAGGUAAUAGAUCUCAUAUCUAUACUUAUAGAAAGAUCAACAGGCUUGCUAUAAUUCGCCAGUUUUUCAUCAAAUUUCUUCCUGGUAUCAUCAUUCAUUGUCUUGAACAAAUCCUCAAAGAGUAUAGAUAAUAAUUGGCCAGAAGACUCCAGCUGCUUGUUCCCGACAUAAUCCUUGUCAUCCAUUUCAUCCUUGUUCAAAAUUGCUUCCAUCAUUCGUCUCAACAUGACAGCCACAUAUUGCACCUCAAAGCUAUUCAGGCCUAAACUUUUAUCAAUUUUUUUUAGAUUAUUGAGCUUUGUGAGCUUAAGGGGGAGACAUUGAAGAAGGCACAUGAAAUCAUUGAUUAUUUUGCAAAUCGAGCCCUUCGUUCCUUAGGUAUUGCACGACAGAUGCCAUAGCCAUGGGAGUUUGUAGGCCUACCGCGUUUAUUUGACCCUCCAAGGCAAGAUAGUGUUGAGACCAUCCGUAAAAUUCUUGAUCUCGGUGUCAAUGUUAAGAUGAUUACUGGUGAUCAACUUGCCAUUGGCAAAGAGACUGGCCGUAGGCUUGGCACGGGCACCAAUAUGUACCCCUCUUCUUCCCUUCUCGGCCAGAGCAAAAACGAGUCCAUUGCUUCCAUUCCCAUUGAUGAGCUCAUUGAGGAGGCUGAUGGCUUUGCUGGAGUCAUCCCUAGUAAGCCUAUAUUACAUAUAAUCAAAGAUCAUAUGGGUUUUGGUUGUAAAUUUAACUUUAGGCAAUAUUGUUUUGAUAAUUUUUAACACUAAUAUGGGUUAUUGUAGAGCACAAAUAUGAGAUUGUGAAGAAGCUGCAAGAGAGGAAACACAUUUGUGAUAUGACUGGAGAUGGUGUGAAUGAUGCACCAGAACUUAAGAGAGUUGACAUUGGUAUUGCAGUUGCAGUUGCAACUGACGCAACCAGAGUAACAUCUGACACCGUUUUAACCGAGCCUGACCUUAGUGUGAUUGUGAGUGCGCUGUUGACUAGCAGAGCCAUCUUCCAAAGAAUGAAGAAUUACACCAUCUAUGUUGUUUCUAUUACAAUCCCUAUUGUCAUGGGAUUCAUGCUCAUUGCUCUCAUUUGGAUCUAUCCAUUCAUGGUCCUGAUCAUUGCCAUCUUGAAUGAUGGACCGAUCAUGACCAUCUCUAAGGACAGGGUGAAACCAUCUUUAGUGCCCGACUCAUGGAAGCUUAAAGAAAUCUUUGUCAUUGACGUUGUUCUUGGCACAUAUCUUGUUGUUGUGACAGUAGUAUUUUUCUACCAAGUUGCUGAAACUGACUUCUUUACAGUAAGUUUUGCUACUUCUUGUAAUGGAACUAUUGUUUGACCUUAAAAUUCAUUAUACACACACACACACACACACACUUAGGGGUCUCUCCACUUACUGCCAAAAUGGUAUCUUAGUAGGGUCUUCUCUUAUUCAUGUAGCCUAACGACCAUUUGAUUUUAAGUUGGAUGUUUCAACAGGAAUAAUGAUUUAGUAGAUAAAAUUGGAGACUAAUAAUCUUUUGAUACUACAAAAUGCUUUUGGGGUUAGGUCAAUCAAGGAUAGCCCAGAUGAACUUACUGGCAGCUCUUUAACUUCAAGUCAGCAUUGUAAGCCAAACACUCAUCUUUGUGACAAGGACUCAUAGCUGGUCAUAAAUUGAACGCUCUGGUAUCUUGCUUGUCACUGCCUUCUUAAAAGCCCAGUUGUUUGUUACGCUCAUUGUUGUGUAUGCAAGCUGGAGCUUUGCUAGAAUCCAAGGUGUUGGAUGGGGAUGAGCUGGAGCAAUCUGGAUAUUCAGCAAUGUUACCUACUUCCCUCUUGAUGUAUUCAAGUUCAUCACCUGCUAUGGACUGAGUGGUCAUGCUUGGGAUUCCAUGAUCCAGAACAAGGAAAUUACAAGAAGCAAAAAUGGCACCAAAAAAUGAAA
rnacentral:lncRNA from 1 species